rnacentral:lncRNA from 1 species
UUAGUAGAUCCUAAUCAUCAUUAGCCAUGGGAACUUUUGUAGACUUGCUUAUUUCUGAUAUUACUAGACUGUAAUCUUCAAUAGCCGUGAAGUUUGUGGGUCAUUAUGGAUCUGGUGAUGAUGUUUGAUGCUGCUCCGGGUUACUUGCUUACAAGUUUGCACUGGAGUAUUGGUGUAUACAUGAUGGUAGAAUUUGUGUCCUGUUUGUAAUACCCUGUUGGAAGAAAAUGCUUCCAUUCCAUGAGACAUUAAUGUGGUGAUGAAUUGGUAUGACUGCCGUCAGUUUGCAUUCUUAUGUUGUAUGCAUGGUAGUAACGUUCUGCAAUUGGGCUAUGUAUGCGUUGCCAUUUCGAACAGAAUAUCCUUGUGGUUAUGUUUAUCAGGAGUGGUUAUCUACUGCCAUCUUGGUCGUUGGGUCAUCUGUUAGAAUGUUAACUCUUUUUUCGAUAAAGGGUGGAUUUUAUUGAUUCAAAAUAGAGCAUCAAGAGGAUACAAACAUAAUGAGUACACACCCGGCCUCUGCAUAGCUAAGAUGAACACAGCCAACAUCUACGCACGCACACAAAAAUAAAGCCAACAAAUAGCAAAGUCAUACAAGACCAAAGCAAUGCAUAGGCGAGAAAAAAAAAACCCAAAGGCGAUCAAAUCUACAAUGGGCAAACUACAGUAAUGACCAUAUUCACACCAAUCAUAUCAUGACACCACACUAACGAUGAGGUUCUUCGACGGCAACGCCUUUAAGAAGCAAGCGACGCUCAACCAUCGCCGUUACCGGAUCCAACCACCUAAGGUAGAAUCUAGGUUUUCACCCCGAAAAACCAGUCCGAGCAUAUCCAAACAAUGCCUUCAACAAGGUAGCGAUGUAAAAACAUCAUCAUUGCCAGGUAUAACCAACUCGGGUCAGACCUUAGGCUUUCACCGGGAAGCUCGAGACUAGGUGCUCAAGUAGCACCACCAUCAAUCUCGCUUGUGUUGUCGCCACCACUUUUCCGCAUGUGCCGCUGCCGUUGCACAAUCAUUCCUCUGCGUCAAGCCAUCAUCAAUAGUUUGCAUCUCAGCUCCAAAGUCAACCACCAGAUCUGUAUGAAGAAACUCUCACAAAGAUCUUUCGGUGACCGCCACAAUCCGCAAUCCGCAUCGAGGCCGCCGCCAUAAGCCUGAAUGGUCACCGCAAGACCCAUACAGCGAGGCAGUCAUGACGCUUCUGGCACGACCCCUUGCCGGAUCUGAGCGUAGACCGGCCCGCAACGGUGACCCGGCCAACCCUUGACAGGGUCAGGGGGAAGGCAUGCCUCACAUCCAUGAUUGGAUCUGGGAAGGAAUCAGCCCACGCUGACAUCCCCCGGCCUGCCAUGACCGGAUCUGGGCAGCUCGCGACUGCCGACGGCCUAGAUGGGGCGGCUGCAGCCCUCCUGGUCACACUCCCGAAACCUCUGGCUGGCCUCCAAAGUCAACCACCAGAUCUGUAUGAAGAAACUCUCACAAAGAUCUUUCGGUGACCGCCACAAUCCGCAAUCCGCAUCGAGGCCGCCGCCAUAAGCCUGAAUGGUCACCGCAAGACCCACACAGCGAGGCAGUCACGGCGCUUCUGGCACGACCCCUUGCCGGAUCUGAGCGUAGACCGGCCCGCAACGGUGACCCGGCAAACCCUUGACAGGGUCAGGGGGAAGGCAUGCCUCACAUCCAUGAUUGGAUCUGGGAAGGAAUCAACCCACGCUGACAUCCCCCGGCCUGCCAUGACCGGAUCUGGGUAGCUCGCGACUGCCGACGGCCUAGAUGGGGCGGCUGCAGCCCUCCUGGUCACACUCCCGAAACCUCUGGCUGGCGAUCAGGACGGACACCGGAAGGAGAGGAGCGAUCGCCUCGAGCGAAGGAAGGAACGAAGUGAAGGUAGAGAAGCCCCGCCGCCACCGCCUUCCGCACGGGGCAUCGCCCGGCGGCGCUGGCCGGCGGCGGCGAGGAAAGAGAGAGGACACGGGCGCUCGAGGCGGUGGAGAUGGGAUCGCCUCCCGUGUCGCCCGCUGAGGACGACGCGGGGACCAAGUUAGAAUGUUAACUCUACCUGGUGGCAUGCUUGUAUUGUCGUUUUCAUCCUCAUAUUUGCUGCUGAACUUCGUCAGCAUUUUUAACAUUAUGAUGAUUAAUGCUAUGAUCAGGGAUACAAAUUUGCAAUCAGUGUUGGAUAUUUGGUAAAUAAAUUUGCAUUUUAUCUAUGUUACACAGAUGAGCUGAACCAUUAAGAGGGCGCGCUAGACUGGUUUGUUCAUUCAUCAAUUUGUUAUUCUGAAUUUGACAACAAAAUGCAUGUGUAAAUUCAAGAAGCCCUUUAACUUUGAUUAUGUUCCGUUUUCUGUUAAAUAAGUGAAGACAAAUUCUUCGCACAAAAUCUCUCAAUGUAAGAAUGAAUUAGCCUAAAAAGCAACGGUCGAAAAAUAGGUUAGACAUUUUUAUCCAAUUUUUGUUUACAAGAUUCACUACUGUGAAAAAAGUCGUGUGCCCUUUUUCUUCCAUUUUUACUAAAAUUCAGUCGAUUGAACUUCCAUUUCGUUCUUGGUAGAAUUUUCGAUCCUUGAAUCUCGUCGGCAAUCGCAAUGUGGGCUGCCCAUCAUGGAUGAGGCGUCUGCUUGCCUUGGUUUUGUGUCGUUGAAAACUGUCACAUGCUCCAAUUUUCUUUUGUCGAACCGUAACAUCUAAAGGCACUUCUCAGAUAUGCAUGAUGGACUGUGGUCCAUAGCGUCAAUUUUUCAUUACACUGCAUUGAACUGCAAUUGUAUUAUUUUUGUCUAGUUAUUGGGUAUGUUUUCCCUUUCAAACCGAUUAUCAUCAAAAUCUAUUUCCAGGCGAAAGGAUCUAUCAUGACUUUCAGUUGCUUUUGAAAAUAUUGUCUUUUCCUUUCAAGCCGUUUUUCAAUGAAAGUUUACCUAAUUAUGCAAUCAUAAUAAUUUGACACUAGGUCUUGAAACUUUCAAAAUACUUCAAACUAAAUAAAUUGGGUGUUAACCAUUUCCCCUAGAAUUUUUCAACUUCAAAUUGAGGAUCCCGAUUGAGAGUUUUUUUAAUUCAAAAACCCUAACUGAAACUCAACUCAGUAUUAUUUCGUUGGAAAGAAAAUUCGGUAAUAGAUUUUAACAUUUCGCCCGGUGGCUUGAACAAGAAAUUCGGUAAUUCUUGUAAAAAAAAUGAAAUUCGGUAAUUGUGCAGGAUCGCAUCAGGUACUCACCAUUUCCAAGUACCCGGUUAGAGCAUCUCUAGCAGUCCCCUUAAAAACCGCGACCCUUAUAACCGGGACAAGGGCCGAGAAAAGCGCGUUUUAAGGCCGGAAAUCGGCUGCGACCGAACAGAGCCCGCAAACUAGAGAUAACCUUAAAACCACACAAUGCAAUUGACCGCGAUUUUGACAAAUAAACACAAAUUUUGAGAAUUCAAAUACAGUUUUGGCGACAUUUGAACAUAGUUUUCGCGCCACAACCCAAAAGACAUCGCAUCCAUCAUCAUCAUCAUCACAAGAUGAAAUCUUCACCGCCACCAUUGCCACCACCACUUGCCGAACCACCACCGAACCUUGGCACCGCAUGGUCUCUUGCGGCUAGCCUUCUCCUCUCCAAGGUCUCCAACCUUGCCAUGUCAUGCCAUUCUUUGGUGACCAUCCAUCUCAUUUCGAUUUAUCAUCAUGAUCUUGUUCUCCUCUUGAAGGAGCUUGGCCAUGGCUUUGUUCUCGUCGGCCAUGGCUCUUCUCUCCUCAAUGGCAGCCUUGCGCAUGGUCUCCUCCUUGAGUAGUUGCCACUUCUCUUGCUUCUCUUGAGCCUUCUUCUCGGCCAACUCCUUUUUCGCCUCCAAUGUCUUGAUCACCAAUAUCUAAUUGGACUUGACCAUAUGAUCUAACUUGUCCCGCAAGCUUGAUGCCUCCACUUCCUUCUUGAUUUUGUCCUAGGCCUUCUUGUUUUCAUCAGGCUUGUUCUUGGUGAGUGCACCUCUCUUUGAUGGGGAUUCUUUGUUAAUCACCUUCCACUUCUCGCUAUCUUUAAGAAAUUCCCAACAAUGCUCUAGUUGAAAUGCUUUUUUAUCAGAAGUUUCCAUGUCCUUGUACCUUUCUUGCGCAAUUUGUCCUACAAAAUGAAAAUAAUGUCAAAUUAUGCAACCUCUCCGACGGCUACAAAAGAUUUGCACAACUUGGGACAUGAAAACAAACUCACAUAAUCGGAUUCAACGGUACCACUUGGAGGUGCAUUGCGGACUUGAGUCAAACAAGCAGCCCAACGGCUAAAAAUCGGCUUGAUCACGUCCCAACGACUUUGGAGAGACCAAAAGGUGCGCGGCGUCCUGUUGGGAUACUUUGCCAUCAUGCUGAGGUACUGGUCCUCUAUCCUUUGCCAAUACCACUUGGCGGUUUGGUCAGUGCCGGUGCACACAUCAAGAGACACCGAUUCCCAAGCCUUGAUCAAGUUUUUUUAAUCUUCCAAUGGCGUGUAGUUCUUCGAUCUUGCGCGUGAUUUUCCUUGCGCCGCGUCGAACACCCCCUCGUCAACCUCCUCCACAUCAUCUUCUUCCUCACCGUGACCGUGCACGGGCACCAUCCAUCUCAUUGUAACCGUAAUCACCGAUCGGGGCUUGAUCGAUGUCAAUGAAAGCUGAAUAAAACUGUUGCUUAUUGAUGAUUUGGUGCGGCAUACAAGAGUAUAUAAGAGGGUACAAACCGACUUGGGGUAGGGGUACAAAACUGACUUGGACUAGAAGUCGUAUACCAUAAUGACUACUCUAACAUCCCCCCGCAGUAUCAACGGCAGGCUCGACGACGUUGAGACUGAAACAGAUAUCUUGAAACGGCUUAGUAGGCAGUGCCUUGGUGAAAAUGUCAGCAAACUGAGCCGUAGAGGGAACAUGAAGCACCCGAACCUGACCAAGAGCAACCUUUUCACGAACAAAAUGAAUAUCAAUCUCAAUAUGCUUUGUGCGUCGGUGUUGAACUGGAUUGCUGGUCAUGUAGACUGCUGAUAUGUUGUCACAGUAGACAAUAGUGGCCUGCUCAAUAGGCCUAUGUAGCUCGGAGAGUAACUGCCGAAUCCAGAUUGUAUCUGCAACGGCAUGUGCCACAGCGCGAUACUCAGCCUCGGCCGACGAACGUGAGACUGUAACCUGUCUUUUUGAAGACCAAGAAAUCAAAUUAUUACCAAGAAAAACACAAAAACCAGAAGUGGACCUUCGAGUGUCAGGACAACCAGCCCAGUCUGCAUCAGAGUAUGCGGUAAGCGAGUUUGGAGAAGAAUUAUUGAGGUGGAGACCAUGAUUGAGAGUUCCUUUUAAAUACCGAAGAAUGCGUUUAACAUGAUUAUAGUGAGGAACCCGGGGAUCAUGCAUAUAGAGACAUGCUUGUUGAACAGCAAAAGAGAUUUCAGGACGAGUAAUGAUGAGAUAUUGGAGAGCACCUGUUAGGCUACGAUAGAGAGUAGGAUCGGAAAAGGGUUCACCGGUAGCCGAAAGUUUAAAACUAGUAUCGACAGGAGUGCGAGAUGAUUGACAGUCAAGCAUACCAGCACGAUUAAGAAGAUCAAGAAUAUACUGGCGUUGGGAAAGAAAAAGGCUGGAGGAAUCUCGAACAACAGCAAUGCCUAAGAAAUGAUGAAGGAGUCCUAGGUCAGUCAUAGAAAAUUCAGAUCUAAGAAGAGAGCAAUAUGAUCUAAGAACUUUUGAGAGGAGGUGGUAAGAAUGAUAUCAUCUACAUAGAGAAGUAAAUAGGCAGUGUCAGAAGUUUGAUGAUACACAAAAAGAGAGGUGUCGGAGAGAGAUGGAGUGAAGCCUAUUGUUUGAAUGAAGGAGGAGAAGCGUUGAAACCAAGCUCGUGGGGCCUGUUUAAGACCGUAGAGAUAUUUCUGAAGAAGACAUACAUGAGUUGGAAAGGAUGGAUUUUCAAAACCCAGAGGUUGCUGGCAGUAGACAGUUUCUUGAAGGGAACCAUGGAGGAAAGCAUUUUUCACAUCAGGUUGGUGAAUGGGCCAUGAAGAGGAGACAGCAACACUAAGAACGGUGCGAAUGGUGCUAGGUUUAACAACAGGAGAGAAGGUUUCUUCGUAAUCAAUUCCUUGUUGCUGAGAAAAGCCACGACAAACCCACCUGGCUUUAUAUCGUGAGAGGCUCCCAUCGGAGUGGAACUUUUGGCGAAAAAUCCAUUUGCCAGAAACAAUAUUUGUAUUAGGAGGACGAGGAACAAGUUGCCAGGUGUUGUUUUGAAGUAAAGCAUUAUAUUCUUCUUGCAUGGCAGCGGCCCAAUUGGGAUCAAGUAGAGCAGUUUUGUAAUUCUUUCGAAGAGAAGUGGGAGAUACGGAGGUAUGAAGGUUUAGGCGGUCUUGGGGUUGAUGAAAUCCUGAUUUGGCCCUAGUACGCAUGUGAUGAUCAUUAAUCGGGGCUGCUGUAGGAAUAACACGAGGGGGUAAGGUGGGUACUGGUGAGUCCGGCGCAGCGGAAGAGUCGGACGAAGGAGUAGGGCUGGGUGGUGGAGUGGGAGCAGGGCUGGGUGGUGGAGUGGGAGGAGGGGCCGGGGGUGUUGGGGAGGGAGCAGGGGUCGGGGGUGUUGGGGACGUCUCGGGUGGGGUGAGUGUAUGGUUGGGAUUGGCUAUGGUGGGUGUUAAUGGUGGUGGUGAUAAGUUGUGUUCGGCAGGUAGGGGAGUAUAUAGUUGGAAAGGACGGGGAGAGGGGGUGUUCGCGGAGCUAGGGGUGUUGGAUGGUGUAGUAGUGCGUUGUGAGAAAGGAAAAAUGUGCUCAGCAAACGUGACAUGACGAGAGACAUGAACGUGUCCGGUGUGAAGGUCGAGACAGCGAUAGCCUUUGUGCUCGUCAGAGAAGCCGAGAAAAGCACAUGGGAUAGAGCGUGGUGACAAUUUAUUUGCAGAAGUGGCGUAGGCAUUGGGAAAACAGAGACAGCCGAAAACACGAACCGCGGAGUAGUCGGGGUGGGAAAGAAAGAGGGAGUAAUAGGGAGUAGUGUUGGGUUUAGUUUUAGAAGGUCGAAUAUUUAGAAGGAAGGUGGCCAUGUGUAGGGCUUCAGCCCAAAACUUGGGAGGCAUAGAUGAUUGAAUGAGGAGAGUGCGAACUAUAUCAUUGAGGGUGCGAAGAGAGCGUUCUGCUUUACCAUUUUGAGGGGAGGUGUAGGGACAUGAGAACCUAAGCAGGAUGCCAUGUUGUAAGAAGAAAGUACGAUUUUUAAUGUUAUCAAACUCGCGACCAUUGUCACAUUGGAUAAAGCGAAUUGGGAGGAAGAAGUGAACAGACACAUAGCGUUGAAAAUUAAGGAAAAGAGAAUGGACCUCGGAUUUGUUGCGUAGAGGAAAAGUCCAGACAAAGUGGGUGAAAUCAUCUAGGAUAACAAGGUAGUAUUUAAAACCCGAAACACUUGCAAUGGGAGAGGUCCAUAAAUCACAAUGUAUUAAUUCAAAGGGAUAAGUGCUACAAGAACUAGAGGAACUAAAGGGAAGACGCACAUGUUUGCCUAAUUGACAAGACUCGCAAAACACAGAAUUAUGAGAGUCCCUAUUACACGGUAUGGUAAAUUCACUAAGCAUAGAAGCUAAGACGGCGGGGUUGGGAUGGCCCAAGCGACGAUGCCAGAGAUCGACGGAGGCCAGCAUGGAUGUUGGAGGGGUGGCGGCAGGAAAUCCAUUAAGAGAAUAAAGAUCACCGGAGCUAUUGAAGCGAGCGAUCUCGGCCUUGGUCAGGUAAUCCUUCACAGAUAGACCAAAAGGGUCAAAUUCAGCCGAAACUAGAUUGUCGCAAGUAAAUUGGCGAACAGAGAUAAGAUUUUUAAUGAGGGCGGGUGCAACUAGAACAUCGUGAAGUAAAAGAGGUUUGGUGGAAGAGGGAAGUUGAGCCUGACCAACACAAUAUAUAGGAAUAGAUGAUCCAUCUCCAAGGAUAAUGGAAGGGAAAGGAGAUUUAGUGCAAGAAGAUAACCAAUUACUAGAUGCAGACAUAUGACUAGAGGCCCUUGAAUCAAAGAUCCAAUCCGUACCUGAGUUUCCUUGUGCAGCAAAGUUAUUCAUGGCCUGGAGAAAGACAGCUUGAUCCCAGCUCGGCGUCGCAGGUGAGGGUGGCGUCGGAAGCAGUGCCGGCGGAUACGAUGGUGAAGGCAGUAGGGCCGGCUGGGGAGUGUAGUAGGCAUUGGCCGACUGUGGUGGGGGUGGCGUCGGGAGCAGGGCCGGCUGAGGUGUGUAGUAGGCGCCGCCGUCGGUGCUGUAAUGACCAUAAGGAGCAUACGUCGGGGCGGCGUGAUAGGCAUUGGCCGGCUGUCGGGGGUUGAGAACCCCGGGAGCACCAGUAGGCGGCCGAAGGCCGGGUUGCCAGGCACCUGAGUAUGCCGGCGGAGCACCGAGGGUGGACGGAGCGGACCAGGGCAUGGGCCAUGCUUGAACAAGCCCCGUCCAAGGAUCAUGAAGAGGCCGCCAUGCAACUGCAGAUGGAGCACUGGUGGGUGGUGCAGGACUUGGUGCUGGUGAUGUCGUAGGCGGAACCGAACGAGUCGGCGGCAGCCUGCAGAUAGGGUUUUUGCCGCGGUAGUUCGGACUAGGACGCCAGCCUGGGGGCGGUUCAACAGAUGACGAUGCGGACGGCCCGGCGGCAGGAGCCGGCCUGGAAGGCGGCGCUGGUGUAGACGACAGAGGAGGACGAGCCGCAGCAUGAAAGACCUUGGGGCGAGAAUCCUUGCGAGCUUGUGUUUCCACCGCGAGUUGUAGCAAGGAACGUACUUCAGCGAAGGUAGGAGGGGGCCGUAUCAUCGGUAUGAACGAGGCUUGCUUGUCAAAGUCUUCGCUGAGGCCGCCGACGAUAUUGAUUAGCUGUGAGUCGCUAACUGUAUCGCCGAGUUCGCGGAGCUCAUCGCCAAUGGUCUUAACGCGCUGGCAGAACAGGUUCACCGGGGCGUCUCCUUGCACCAUAUUGCGAAGCUCGGUGUGGAGAGCGUUUUUACGAGCGUCGGUGCUGCUUUGGAAGAGCUGACGGAGGGAGUGCCAGAUGUUGGCAGCGGUGGCGCCGUCGUGAUCGAGCAUGUUGAAGAUCUCGGUGGUGAUGCGGGUGUAGAACCACUGGACGAUCGCGAGAUCGUCUUUCAACCAUUGCGGAUCGUCGGGGCGGGGAAGACAGUUGGCGGCGACAUGCGAGCGCAGGUUGCAGCGGCCGAGGUGGAGAUCGAAGAGAUGUCUCCAAUGGUAGUAGUUGUGGGCGGCGAGAUCAAGAACUAUGGGGAUGUAGGGGCUGACGUCGGAGAUUGUGUCAGCAAGAGAUAUUGGUGCGGCGAGGAUGGGUGCAGGGUAGUUUUGUGGAGCUAUGGUGAGGGCCGAGAGAGAAGCGGCCGCGGCGUUGGCAGCCUUGGCGAUGAGUGCGGCCCGGCGCUCGAAGUAGCCGGGCGGCGGCGGCGGUGGCAUUGGCGGAGUCAUACCCUAAACCCUGGGACCGUGUAACACCCCGCAUGUAACUUGCCAUAUUUGUAACUCCGACUCUUGCCAUUUCCGGCUAUGUGUUAUGAUUUUCCCUCCGUUGUCGGGUUUUGUCUUUCGUUUUGUAUUUUGUCAUGUCAUGCAUUUUCAUAUCAUGUCAUCAUGUGCUUUGCAUUUGCAUACGUGUUCGUCUCAUGCAUCCGAGCAUUUUCCCCAUUGUCCGUUUUCCAAUCCGGCGCUCCUAUCUCCUCCGGUGCACCCCUCUUGUUUUCUUUCGUGUGCGUGUGUCAUACUUUCUCGGAAUGGACCGAGGCUUGUCAAGUGGCCUUAAUAUACCACCCGGAGACUACCGGUCAAGUUUCGUUCCAUUCGGAGGUCGUUUGGUACUCCAACGGUUAACCGGGCAUCCGCAAAGUCCAUUUGAGUGUCCAGCGAAACCCCCCUCAAAAACCAGCCCAAAACCCACCAAACUCUCUUCCAUGCUCUAGGUCGUUCGAUCACGAUCGUGUGGGCAAAAACCGCACCUCAUUUGGAGCCUCCUAACUCCCUCUACCUAUUUAUAUGUGGGCAUCCCGAAAAACAGAAUCGCAGACGAAACCCUAGUUCGUUUUCCCCUCGCGCCGCCGGACGUGUCCGCCUCCGGCCGGACGCUUCCACUCCGCCCGNNNNNNNNNNNNNNNNNNNNNNNNNNNNNNNNNNNNNNNNNNNNNNNNNNNNNNNNNNNNNNNNNNNNNNNNNNNNNNNNNNNNNNNNNNNNNNNNNNNNNNNNNNNNNNNNNNNNNNNNNNNNNNNNNNNNNNNNNNNNNNNNNNNNNNNNNNNNNNNNNNNNNNNNNNNNNNNNNNNNNNNNNNNNNNNNNNNNNNNNNNNNNNNNNNNNNNNNNNNNNNNNNNNNNNNNNNNNNNNNNNNNNNNNNNNNNNNNNNNNNNNNNNNNNNNNNNNNNNNNNNNNNNNNNNNNNNNNNNNNNNNNNNNNNNNNNNNNNNNNNNNNNNNNNNNNNNNNNNNNNNNNNNNNNNNNNNNNNNNNNNNNNNNNNNNNNNNNNNNNNNNNNNNNNNNNNNNNNNNNNNNNNNNNNNNNNNNNNNNNNNNNNNNNNNNNNNNNNNNNNNNNNNNNNNNNNNNNNNNNNNNNNNNNNNNNNNNNNNNNNNNNNNNNNNNNNNNNNNNNNNNNNNNNNNNNNNNNNNNNNNNNNNNNNNNNNNNNNNNNNNNNNNNNNNNNNNNNNNNNNNNNNNNNNNNNNNNNNNNNNNNNNNNNNNNNNNNNNNNNNNNNNNNNNNNNNNNNNNNNNNNNNNNNNNNNNNNNNNNNNNNNNNNNNNNNNNNNNNNNNNNNNGGCCCCGCUUCGCCACCGUUCGCCGACUCCGGCCGCCGCCUCCACGCCGGCUCCGGCGAGCCACCGCGGGCGACCCCGCCGGCCUCCUCCUCCCACGAGCGCCCGCCGCCGCCGCCUCCUUCCCUCUCCUCCGGCCACCGCCGGCGAGGCCGAGGACGAGCCCGAGCCCGAGCUCCUCGAGCUCCUGUAGCUUCCCCGAUCCAGAUCUCGUGAGCGUUGACCUUCUCGCCCUUCCUUUUUUAUCUAAGUCCUGGAAAAUCUAUAGCAAGUGCCUCUGUUCGUAUAGCUAUAACUCUGUGCAUGUAGCUCCGAUUCGCGCGUGUAAUAUGUCAAAUUGUUCGUCUCGUGAUGCUCUUAAUUUGGUUCAAUUGCACCAUGUUCAUUAGAGGUCAUCUUGAUGCCCAAAUCUCUGUUGGAAGAGGGCUAGUUGCUGUUAUUCUCUGGUUCUUAUCAGAACUUGGAGAUUUGUCAUUUUUGUAUCAUUAAAUCUGUGCAUCUUUUGAGCAUGAGCUCUACAUGUGUUUUGAAGUAUGACAUGCCAUCUUUCUAGUGGUGUGGUCCAUGUAUUUUUGUAAUCUCUGAGGUGACUAGCACAAGCAUGCCAAGUAGGCCCCGUAAUAUUUCUGAUUUCAGGGACUUAGUGAUUUCUCUAAGUCCUUGUCUGCUGUAAUUUUGUUGCCAUGUAAACUUGAUGUUACAGAGAGAUCCAUGCAUAUUUUGGAGAUAUUCAGUAAGGAUGUUUUGUAGAUAUAGUUGUAAUUGAUCCAUUCCUGCAAUUGUUUGCAAUUAUGGAGUGCCAUAGGAUGACUCAAUCUUGCUCUACGUUUGCUAUAAAAUAUUUCUGGCAGAUUCUUAACAUGAUAUGCAAUUUUGCCAAGCUUAUUGUAGUUGAUCCAUACAUGCUAUGCAAUUGUUCUUGCCAUGGUUAGCUUCAUAAACAUGCCAUAUUGCUUUAGGUAUACUUGGUUUGUCAUGCAUUGCUCUGUAGUGAGUGCAUCAAGCUCUCAAAGAGGCCUACAUAUUAAUAUUUCUGCCAUGCUCUGUUUUCUGCUAAGUCUGAAACCUGAUAACGAAACUUGCUAUGUUUACAUGCUCUCCACCAUAUCUUCUGGUCCUUUUUGGCUUAUGGUCAGUAAGGGACUUUUGUCAUGUACAUUUAGUAGAACACUGCCAUGCCUUGAUUUUCUAUGUUAAGUUCCUGUAGCAUGUUGAUUUCGUGCUCCGAACAUUGCUACCUGAUGCUGUUUUCUGCCAUGUCCAGUUUUUCACUAAGUCUGUGAACCUGUUAUCUUUUGCACUUUUGACAUGCUUGUUUGAGCUUGAUAUGUUGUGAACUAGCCGUAGCUCAGUGUUCAUCUUUUGUCAAGCAUCUCCUGUAGAUCAUUUCCAUGUGCUUUGUUGCUAUGUUGGGGUGCUGUAGCAUUGUUACUUGUUGCAUUUUAAGUGCUAUCUUGCUGUUUAUCGCAGAUUCGUGUCAUUCUUGUUUUGCUUGCCAUUUGCAAACCGUGCAUCCGAUUCCGGUGAUCUUUAUAUCGAUUUCGACCGAAAUCAUCUCAUCUUUCCAGUGGCAUGCUUGGUUUGCCAAGUUACUGCCAUGUUCAUCAUUUCCCUUCCGGAGCACGCAUAUGCAUCGCAUACCAUAUCUCGCAUAUCAUGCAUGUUUUGCAUCAUGUUGCUUGUGCAUUUCUCGUUGUUGAUUGUGGUUCCGUUUGUUUGUGUUCUUGUCUUGGGUAGAGCCGGGAGACGAGUUCGUGAACGAGGAACCUGUCGAGUACGCUUACGAGGAUCAAGCUUUCGACAACUCUGAGAACCUUGCAGGCAAGAUGACCACCCCUCGAAAUCACUUCUAUCUUUGCUUUGCUAGUUGUUCGCUCUAUUGCCAUGCUCGCUACCUAUCACUUGCUAUAUCAUGUCUCCCAUUUUAGCCAUGUCAGCCCCUAACCAUCCUUUCCUAGCAAACCAUUGUUUGGCUAAGUUACCGCUUUUGCUCAGCCUCUCUUAUAGCGUUGCUAGUUGCAGGUGAAGUUGAAGUUUGUUCCAUGCCGGAACAUGGAUAUGUUGGGAUAUCACAAUAUAUCUUAUUUAAUUAAUGCAUGUAUAUAUAUUUGAUAAAGGGUGGAAGGCUCGGCCUUAUGCCUGGUGUUUUGUUCCACUCUUGCCGCCCUAGUUACUGUUAUACCGGGAUUAUGUUCCUUGAGUUUGCGUUCCUUACACGGUCGGGUGAUUUAUGGGACCCCCUUGACAGUUCGCCUUGAAUAAAACUCCUCCAGCAAGGCCCAAUCUUGGUUUUACCAUUUGCCACCUAAGCCUUUUCCGCUGGGUUUUCACGAGCCCGAGGGUCAUCUUUAUUUAAACCCCCGGGCCAGUGUUCCUCUGAGUGCUGGUCCAAACUAGAGCCACUUGCAGCGCCAUCUUGGGGAAACUCGAGGAUUGGUUUUAGCUGUACGUAGUGUUCAUCCGGUGUGCCCUGAGAACGAGAUAUGUGCAGCUCCUAUCGGGAUUUGUCGGCACAUUCGGGCGGCUUUGCUGGUCUUGCUUUACCAUUGUCGAGAUGUCUUGUAAACCGGGAUUCCGAGACUGAUCGGGUCUUUCCGGGAGAAGGUUUAUCCUUCGUUGACCGUGAGAGCUUUUGAUGGGCUAAGUUGGGACACCCCUGCAGGGUAUUAUCUUUCGAAAGCCGUGCCCGCGGUUAUGAGGCAGAUGGGAAUUUGUUAAUGUCCGGUUGUAGACAACUUGUCACUUGACCCAAUUAAAAUACAUCAACUGCGUGUGUAGCCGUGAUGGUCUCUUAUCGGCGGAGUCCGGGAAGUGAACACGGUCUGAGUUAUGUAUGACAUAAGUAGGCGUUCAGGAUCACUUCUUGGUCAUUGCUAGAUGACGUCCGUUCCUUUGCUUCUCUUCUCGCUCUCUUUUGCGUAAGUUAGCCACCAUAUAUGCUUUUGCCGCUGCAGCUCCACCUUGUUGCACCAUCCUUUCCUAUAAGCUUAAAUAGUCUUGAUCUCGCGGGUGUGAGAUUGCUGAGUCCCCGUGACUCACAGAUUCUACCAAAACAGUUGCAGGUGCCGACGAUGCCAGUGCAGAUGAUGGCGUCGAUCUCAAGUGGGAGUUCGACGAGGAACGUGGUCGUUACUAUGUGUCUUUUCCUGAUGAUCAGUAGUGGAGCCCAGUUGGGACGAUCGGGGAUCUAGCAUUUGGGGUUGUCUUAUUUUCAUCUGGAUUUUGACCAUAGUCGGUCUUUAUAUGUUUGUAUUUUGGAUGAUGUAUGAAUAAUAUUUAUGUAUUGUGUGAAGUGGCGAUUGUAAGCCAACUCUUUAUCCCAUUCUUGUUCAUUACAUGGGAUUGUGUGAAGAUGACCCUUCUUGCGACAAAACCACUAUGCGGUUAUGCCUCUAAGUCGUGCCUCGACACGUGGGAGAUAUAGCCGCAUCGUGGGCGUUACAGACCGGUAUCUGAUACCAUGAAAGCUGAAUAAAACUGUUGCUUAUUGAUGAUUUGGUGCGGCAUACAAGAGUAUAUAAGAGGGUACAAACCGACUUGGGGUAGGGGUACAAAACUGACUUGGACUAGAAGUCGUAUACCAUAAUGACUACUCUAACAGUCAAAGGUGUUGUUGUCCAACAUUUGCACGAAGUUGGCAGUCGCAGCAUGCAAACCGGUGCUACAAUUUCGCUCAACAAGUCAUGAACACGCGCAAUGGAGAAAAGUGAAAGAAGUGCAAGAAAUCGAAGCAUCAUACCUUGCGCCCAUUCUGUCGAACACCUCGGGGGGCGGCGGUAGCAGCGCCGUCGGCGGGCAUCCUCAGGGUAGUUCUCGUCGGGGCAACAGGGGAGGUGUUGGUGGGGUAGGUCUUCCGGCGAGCUUCUUGCGUUUAGCACCGGAAGCCUUCCCCUUCUUCGCUGGCGGGUGCCCGGCCGAAUUCACAUCGGAGGCGGCGGGGCCGACGGGCGCGCGUGCCUUCCUGGCGGGGGCUGCGGGAGCGUCGCCCUGGAUGAGGACGUUUCCCAGCCACUUGCGGGGUGGCGCAGUGGAGCCUUGAACGACAACGGGCGUGACAUGACCAGCGACGAGAUCUGCCGAAGGGGAUGGCGUGUGGGUGACAUCCACGGUGACGACCGACGACUGGGAGGCUUCCAUGGUGGUGGAGGGAAGCCGGGGAAGGUGCUCCGGAGCGGGCGGAGGGAGGUGGUUGGCGGCGGAGGGAAGGGGAAGCGGGAACAACCGCGCGAAAAUGUCCCUCCCGCCAAAUCUCGCAGCCGAUAAGGGUCAGGCUCGGGUCGGCCUCCCAUCCUGUGUAUCUAAAGGUUGAGGGCGAAGAUUUUCCAUGCCCCCAAUUUUUUUAGAGGUCGCGGGCUGAUACACUAUCUGAUCAGGCCACUUUUUUGUCUGAAACCAUAAACGGGUGGUUAUUUUGCGGGUCGGCGCGUUUUAAGGGUCUGCUAGAGAUGCUCUAUGGUCUGCUAGAUAUGCUCUUAGAGCAUCUCUAGCAGACCCCGCAUCCCGCCGGCCCACAAAACACAUUGCAGUUCGCGGAAACCGGCCUUUGCGGGCCGGCGCGGACGGCUGCAGAUGCAGACCCCUAAAACGGACCCGUAUAAAAGUAUAUUCGUGGAAUAUGCUUUUUUACAGGUCGGCUUUGCGGGGUUUUUCUUGCACCGCUGCAUCCCGCAUCCCAUCGGCCCGCAAAUAUCAAAUCCAACAUAAUACAACAAACGGAAGCAAACUAAAUCAUUAUUCAAUACCAACAUAAUACAACAAUCAUCCACAUUACAAAUAAUUAUUCAAAUCAUCGAAGCAAACUUAAAUAAUGCAAUACAAAACUUGUUAUGAAUACAAAUACAAAUGAAUUCAAAAAUGAGUUACUGUCCAGCCCUUUGCCAAUGGUGCUCAAUGAGAUCCUCCUAAAGUUGAAAGUGUGUGUUUGCAUUUUCAAUCUCCUUGUAUGUCUGAAGAAAAGCUCUAAUGCGGUUAGGGUCUCUAGCUAGUUUGACACGGCUACCCACAUUGUCGUAGAAGAAUUCCAAGUUCAUUCCUCUCUCAUCUUCAAGAAUCAUAUUGUGAAGGAUAACACAGCAUGUCAUGAUAUUUUUCAAGGUUCUCUUAUCCCAAAAACGAGCAGGAUCACUGCUACCUCUUGAGCACUGCGUUGGUUUUCCCUUGAAGAGGAAAAGGGUGAUGCAGUAAAGCAGCGUAAGUAUUUCCCUCAGUUUUGAGAACCAAGGUAUCAAUCCAGUAGGAGGCCACACACGAGUUCCUCGCACCUACACAAACAAUUAAAAUCCUCGCAACCAACACAAUAAAGGGGUUGUCAAUCCCUUCACGGUCACUUACGAAAGUGAGAUCUGAUAGAUAUGAUAAGAUAAUAUUUUUGGUAUUUUUAUGAUAAAGAUGCAAAGUAAAAUAAAAGGCAAUAAAAAUAGCUAAGUGUUGGAAGAUUAAUAUGAUGGAAAAUAGACCCCGGGGCCAUAGGUUUCACUAGUGGCUUCUCUCGAGAGCAUAAGUAUUACGGUGGGUAAACAAAUUACUGUUGAGCAAUUGACAGAAUUGAGCAUAGUUAUGAGAAUAUCUAGGUAUGAUCAUGUAUAUAGGCAUCACGUCCGCGACAAGUAGACCGACUCCUGCCUGCAUCUACUACUAUUACUCCACACAUCGACCGCUAUCCAGCAUGCAUCUAGAGUAUUAAGUUCAAAAGAACAGAGUAACGCUUUAGGUAAGAUGACAUGAUGUAGAGGGAUAAACUCAUGCAAUAUGAUAUAAACCCCAUCUUUUUAUCCUCAAUGGAAACAAUACAAUACGUGCCUUGCUGCCCCUACUGUCACUGGGAAAGGACACCGCAAGAUCGAACCCAAAGCUAAGCACUUCUCCCAUUGCAAGAAAGAUCAAUCUAGUAGGCCAAACCAAACUGAUAAUUCGAAGAGACUUGCAAAGAUAACCAAUCAUACAUAAAAGAAUUCAGAGAAGAUUCUAAUAUUGUUCAUAGAUAAACUUGAUCAUAAACCCACAAUUCAUUGGUCUCAACAAACACACGGCAAAAGAAGAUUACAUCGAUAGAUCUCCACGAGAAUCAUGGAGAACUUUGUAUUGAGAUCCAAAGAGAGAGAAGAAGCCAUCUAGCUAAUAACUAUGGACCCAAAGGUCUGAGGUAAACUACUCACACAUCAUCGGAGAGGCUAUGGUGUUGAUGUAGAAGCCCUCCGUGAUCAAUGCCUCCUCCGGCGGAGCUCCGGAAAAGGCCCCAAGAUGGGAUCUCACGAGUACAGAAGGUUGCGGCGGUGGAAUUAGGUUUUUUUGCUCCGUAUCUGGUAGUUUGGGGGUACGUAGGUAUAUAUGUUGGGGAACGUAGUAAUUUCAAAAAAUUUCCUACGCACACGCAAGAUCAUGGUGAUGCAUAGCAACGAGAGGGGAGAGUGUUGUCAACGUACCGUCGUAGACCGAAAGCGGAAGCGUUGGCACAACGCGGUUGAUGUAGUCGUACGUCUUCACGAUCCGACCGAUCAAGUACCGAACGCACGGCACCUCCGAGUUCAGCACACGUUCAGCCCGAUGACGUCCCUUGAACUCCGAUCCAGCCGAGUGUUGAGGGAGAGUUUCGUCAGCACGACGGCAUGGUGACGAUGAUGAUGUUCUACCGACGCAGGGCUUCGCCUAAGCACCACUACAGUAUUAUCAAGGUGGACUAUGGUGGAGGGGGCACCGCACACGGCUAAAAGAUCAAACGAUCAAUUGUUGUCUCUAGGGUGCCCCUGCCCCCGUAUAUAAAGGAGCAAGGGGGGAGGUGCGGCCGGCCAGGAGGAGGCACGCCAGGAGGAGUCCUACUCCCACCGGGAGUAGGACUCCCUCCCUUCCUUGUUGGACUAGGAGAGGAGAGGGAAGGAGAGAGGGGGAAAGGAAAGGGGGGGCGCCGCCCCCCUCCUUGUCCAAUUCGGACUUGGGGGGGGGGAGGGGCACACGGCUGCCCCUUGGCCGCCUCUCCUCUUCCACCAAUUGGGCCCAUGAGGCCCAAUAGCCUCCGGGGGGGGGGGGCGUUCCGGUAACCCCCCGGUACUCUGGUAUAUAUCCGAUAACCCCCGGAACCAUUCCGGUGUCCGAAUAUAGUCAUCCAAUAUAUCAAUCUUCAUGUCUCGACCAUUUCGAGACUCCUCGUCAUGUCCGUGAUCACAUCCGGGACUCCGAACAACCUUCGGUACAUCAAAACAUAUAAACUCAUAAUAUAACUGUCAUCGAAACGUUAAGCGUGCGGACUCUACGGGUUCGAGAACUAUGUAGACAUGACCGAGACACGUCUCCGGUCAAUAACCAAUAGCGGAACCUGGAUGUUCAUAUUGGCUCCCACAUAUUCUACGAAGAUCUUUAUCGGUCAGACCGCAUAACAACAUGCGUUGUUCCCUUUGUCAUCGGUAUGUUACUUGUCCGAGAUUCGAUCGUCGGUAUCUCAAUACCUAGUUCAAUCUCGUUACCGGCAAGUCUCUUUACUCGUUCCGUAAUACAUCAUCCCGCAACUAACUCAUUAGUUACAAUGCUUGCAAGGCUUAUAGUGAUGUGCAUUACCAAGUGGGCCCAGAGAUACCUCUCCGACAAUCGAAGUGACAAAUCCUAAUCUCGAAAUACGCCAACCCAACAAGUACGUUCGGAGACACCUGUAGAGCACCUUUAUAAUCACCCAGUUACGUUGUGACAUUUGGUAGCACACAAAGUGUUCCUCCGGUAAACGGGAGUUGCAUAAUCUCAUAGUCAUAGGAACAUGUAUAAGUCAUGAAGAAAGCAAUAGCAACAUACUAAACGAUCAAGUGCUAAGCUAACGGAAUGGGUCAAGUCAAUCACAUCAUUCUCCUAAUGAUGUGACCUCGUUAAUCAAAUGACAACUCAUGUCUAUGGCUAGGAAACAUAACCAUCUUUGAUCAACGAGCUAGUCAAGUAGAGGCAUACCAGUGACACUCUGUUUGUCUAUGUACUCACACAUGUAUUAUGUUUCCGGUUAAUACAAUUCUAGCAUGAAUAAUAAACAUUUAUCAUGAAAUAAGGAAAUAAAUAAUAACUUUAUUAUUGCCUCUAGGGCAUAUUUCCUUCAGUCUCCCACUUGCACGAGAGUCAAUAAUCUAGUUCACAUCACCAUGUGAUUUAACACCAAUAGUUCACAUCACCAUGUGAUUAACACCCAAAGGAAUUACUAGAGUCAAUAAUCUAGUUCACAUCGCUAUGUGAUUAACACCCAAAGAGUACUAAGGUGUGAUCAUGUUUUGCUUGUGAGAGAAGUUUAGUCAACGGGUCUGCCACAUUCAGAUCCGUAUGUAUUUUUGCAAAUUUCUAUGUCAACAAUGCUCUGCACGGAGCUACUCUAGCUAAUUGCUCCCACUUUCAAUGUUUAUCCAGAUUGAGACUUAGAGUCAUCUGGAUCAAUGUCAAAACUUGCAUCGACGUAAUCCUUUACGGCGAACCUUUUUGUCACCUCCAUAAUCGAGAAACAUAUCCUUAUUCCACUAAGGAUAAUUUUGACCGCUGUCCAGUGAUCUACUCCUAGAUCACUAUUGUACUCCCUUGCCAAAAUCAGUGUAGGGUAUACAAUAGAUCUGGUACACAACAUGGCAUACUUUAUAGAACCUAUGGCUGAGGCAUAGGGAAUGACUUUCAUUCUCUUUCUAUCUUCUACCGUGGCCAGGCAUGAAUAAUAAACAUUUAUCAUGAAAUAAGGAAAUAAAUAAUAACUUUAUUAUUGCCUCUAGGACAUAUUUCCUUCAAUAUAUAGGAGGAAGAAGUACGUCGGUGGAGCAACAUGGGCCCCACGAGGGUGGAGGGUGCGCCCCCUACCUCGUGCCCUCCUGGUUGCUUUCUUGACGUAGGGUCCAAGUCCUCUGGAUCACGUUCGUUCCAAAAAUCACGUUCCUGAAGGUUUCAUUCCGUUUGGACUACGUUUGAUAUUCUUUUUCUGCGAAACUUUGAAAUAGGCAAAAAACAACAAUUCUGGGCUGGGCCUUCGGUUAAUAGGUUAGUCCCAAAAAUAAUAUAAAAGUGUAUAAUAAAGCCCAUUAAUGUCCAAAACAGAAUAUAAUAUAGCAUGGAACAAUAAAAAAUUAUAGAUACGUUGGAGACGUAUCAACCACAAACAAUUGCAAACCUAGAUUGCAAAACCCCGAAUGCUCUUUCAAUGUCUUUUCGGGCUGCCUCUUGCACCCUUGCAAUUUCACAAUGUUGUCUAGAUUUGGGAUCUUUGAUGCUCUUGACAAAGGUGCACCAAGAAGGGUAUAUACCAUCUGCAAGAUAGUACCCUUUUGUGUAUUCAUGUCCAUUGAUAGUGUAGUUACAAGCAGGAGCAUCACCACUAGCAAGCCUAGCAAACAAAUGAGACCGUUGCAACACAUUGAUAUCAUUGAGAGUGCCCGGCAUACCAAAGAAGCAAUGCCAAAUCCAUAAAUCCUCGGAUGCUACAGCCUCUAACACAGGCAAGAACUCUUUCUUUGACUGUUCCAUUUUGAACUACUUCAAAAUCUUGUCAAGGUAUGUACUCAUUGAAAGUAACUUAUCAAGCGUCUUGAUCUAUCUCUAUAGAUCUUGAUGCUCAAUAUGUAAGCAGCUUCACCGAGGUCUUUCUUUGAAAAACUCCUUUCAAAAACUCCUUUAUGCUUUGCAGAAUAAUUCUACAUUAUUUCUGAUCAACAAUAUGUUAUUCACAUAUACUUAUCAGAAAUGUUGUAGUGCUCCCACUCACUUUCUUGUAAAUACAGGCUUCACCGCAAGUCUGUAUAAAACUAUAUGCUUUGAUCAACUUAUCAAAGCGUAUAUUUCAACUCCGAGAUGCUUGCACCAGUCCAUAGAUGGAUUGCUGGAGCUUGCAUAUUUUGUUAGCACCUUUAGGAUUGACAAAACCUUCUGGUUGCAUCAUAUACAACUCUUCUUUAAUAAAUCCAUUAAGGAAUGCAGCUUUGUUUAUCCAUUUGCCAGAUUUCAUAAAAUGCGGCAAUUGCUAACAUGAUUCGGACAGACUUAAGCAUAGAUACGAGUGAGAAACUCUCAUCGUAGUCAACACCUUGAACUUGUCGAAAACCUUUUGCGACAAUUCUAGCUUUGUAGAUAGUAGCACUACUAUCAGCGUCCGUCUUCCUCUUGAAGAUCCAUUUAAUCUCAAUGGCUCGCCGAUCAUUUGGGCAAGUCAAUCAAAGUCCAUACUUUGUUCUCAUACAUGGAUCCCAUCUCAGAUUUCAUGGCCUCAAACCAUUUCGCGGAAUCUGGGCUUAUCAUCGCUUCCUCAUAGUUCAUAGGUUCGUCAUGGUCAAGUAACAUGACCUCCAGAAUAGGAUUACCGUACCACUCUGGUGUGGGUCUCACUCUGGUUGACCUACGAGGUUCGGUAGUAACUUGAUCUGAAGUUACAUGAUCAUCAUCAUUAGCUUCCUCACUAAUUGGUGUAGGAGUCACAGGAACCGGUUUCUGUGAUGAACUACUUUCCAAUAAGGGAGCAGGUACAGUUACCUCAUCAAGUUCUACUUUCCUCCCACUCACUUCUUUCGAGAGAAACUCCUUCUCUAGAAAGGAUCCAAAUUUAGCAACGAAUAUCUUGCCUUCGGAUCUGUGAUAGAAGGUGUACCCAACUGUCUCCUUUGGGUAUCCUAUGAAGACACAUUUCUCCGAUUUGGGUUUGAGCUUAUCAGGAUGAAACUUUUUCUUAUAAGCAUUGCCCAAACUUUAAGAAACGACAACUUUGGUUUCUUGCCAAACCACAGUUCAUAUGAUGUCGUCUCGACGGAUUUAGAUGGUGCCCUAUUUAACGUGAAUGCAGCUGUCUCUAAUGCAUCACCCCAAAACGAUAGUGGUAAAUCAGUAAGAGACAUCAUAGAUUGCACCAUAUCCAAUAAAGUACGGUUAUGACGUUCGGACACACCAUUAUGCUGUGGUGUUCCAGGUGGCACGAAUUUGUGAAACUAUUCCACAUUGUUUUAAUUGAAGACCAAACUCGUAACUCAAAUAUUUGUCUCCGCGAUCAGAUCGUAGAAACUUUAUUUUCUUGUCACGAUGAUUUUCCACUUCACUAUGAAACUCUUUGAACUUUUCAAAUGUUUCAGACUUAUGUUUCAUCAAGUAGAUAUACCCAUAUCUGCUCAAAUCAUCUGUGAAGGUCGGAAAAUAACGAUACCCGCCGCGAGCCUCAACACUCAUCAGAUCGCAUACAUCAGUAUGUAUUAUUUCCAAUAAGCCAGUUGCUUGCUCCAUUGUUCCGGAGAACGGCGUUUUGGUCAUCUUGCCCAAGAGGCAUGGUUCGCAAGCAUCAAGUGAUUCAUAAUCAAGUGAUUAUAAAAUCCCAUCAGCAUGGAGUUUCUUCAUGCGUUUUACACCAAUAUGACCUAAACGGCAGUGCCACAAAUAAGUUGCACUAUCAUUAUUAACUUUGCAUCUUUUUGGCUUCAAUAUUAUGAAUAUGUGUAUCACUACGAUCGAGAUCCAACAAACCAUUUUCGUUGGUGUGUAUGACCAUAGAAGGUUUUAUUCAUGUAAACAGAACAACAAUUGUUCUCUAACUUAAAUGAAUAACCGUAUUGCAAUAAACAUGAUCAAAUCAUAUUCAUGCUCAACGCAAUCACCAAAUAACACUUAUUUAGGUUCAACACUAAUCCCGAAAGUAUAGGGAGUCUGCGAUGAUGAUCAUAUCAAUCUUUGGAACCACUUCCAACACACAUCGUCACUUCACCCUUAACUAGUCUCUGUUUAUUCUGCAACUCCCGUUUCGAGUUACUAAUCAUAGCAACUGAACUAGUAUCAAAUACUUAGGGGUUGCUAUAAACACUAGUAAAGUACACAUCAAUAACAUGUAUAUCAAAUAUACCUUUGUUCACUUUGCCAUCCUUCUAUCCGCCAAAUACUUGGGGCAGUUCCGCUUCCAGUGACCAGUUCCUUUGCAGUAGAAGCACUCAGUUUCAGGCUUAGGUCCAGACUUGGGCUUCUUCACUUGAGCAGCAACUUGCUUGCCGUUCUUCUUGAAGUCCCCCUUCUUCCCUUGCCCCUUUUCUUUAAACUAGUGGUCUUGUCAACCAUCAACACUUGAUGUUUUUCUUGAUUUCUACCUUCGCCGAUUUUAGCAUUGCGAAGAGCUUGGGAACUGGUUUCGUCAUCCCUUGCAUACUAUAGUUCAUCACGAAGUUCUACUAACUUGGUGAUGGUGACUAGAGAAUUAUGUCAAUCACUAUUUUAUCUGGAAGAUUAACUCCCACUUGAUUCAAGCGAUUGUAGUACCCAGACAAUCUGAGCACAUGCUCACUGCUUGAGCUAUUCUCCUCCAUCUUUUAGCUAUAGAACUUGUUGGAGACUUCAUAUCUCUCAACUCGGGUAUUUGCUUGAAAUAUUAACUUCAACUCCUGGAACAUCUCAUAUGGUCCAUGACGUUCAAAACGUCUUUGAAGUCCCGAUUCUAAGCCGUUAAGCAUGGUGCACUAAACUAUCAAGUAGUCAUCAUAUUGAGCUAGCCAAACGUUCAUAACGUCUGCAUUUGCUCCUGCAAUAGGUCUGUCACCUAGCGGUGCAUCAAGGACAUAAUUCUUCUGUGCAGCAAUGAGGAUAAUCCUCAGAUCACGGAUCCAAUCCGCAUCAUUGCUACUAACAUCUUUCAACAUAGUUUUUCUCUAGGAACAUAUCAAAAUAAACAUAGGGAAGCAACAACGCGAGCUAUUGAUCUACAACAUAAUUUGCAAAAUACUAUCAGGACUAAGUUUCAUGAUAAAUUUAAGUUCAAUUUAAUCAUAUUACUUAAGAACUCCCACUUAGAUAGACAUCCCUCUAAUCCUCUAAGUGAUCACGUCAUCCAUAUCAACUAAACCAUAACCGAUCAUCACGUGAAAUGGAGUAGGUUUCAAUGGUGAACAUCAUUAUGUUGAUCAUAUCUACUAUAUGAUUCACGCUCGACCUUUCGGUCUCAGUGUUCCGAGGCCAUAUCUGCAUAUGCUAGGCUCGUCAAGUUUAACCUGAGUAUUCCGCGUGUGCAAAACUGGCUUGCACCCGUUGUAGAUGGAUGUAGAGCUUAUCACACCCGAUCAUCACGUGGUGUCUGGGCACGACGAACUUUGGCAACGGUGCAUACUCAGGGAGAACAAAUUUAGUGAGAGAUCAUCUUAUAAUGCUACCGUCAAUCAAAGCAAGAUAAGAUGCAUAAAAGAUAAACAUCACAUGCAAUCAAUAUAAGUGAUAUGAUAUGGCCAUCAUCAUCUUGUGCUUGUGAUCUCCAUCUCCGAAGCACCGUCAUGAUCACCAUUGUCACCGGCGCGACACCUUGAUCUCCAUCGUAGCAUCGUUGUCGUCUCACCAAUCUUAUGCUUCUACGACUAUAGCUACCGCUUAGUGAUAAAGUAAAGCAUUACAGGGCGAUUGCAUUGCAUACAAUAAAGCGACAACCAUAUGGCUCCUGCCAGUUGCCGAUAACUCGGUUACAAAACAUGAUCAUCUCAUACAAUAAAAUUUAGCAUCAUGCUUUGACCAUAUCACAUCACAACAUGCCCUGCAUAAACAAGUUAGACGUCCUCUACUUUGUUGUUGCAAGUUUUACGUGGCUGCUACGGGCUGAGCAAGAACCGUUCUUACCUACGCAUCAAAACCACAACGAUAGUUGUUCAAGUUGGUGUUGUUUUAACCUUCGCAAGGACCGGGCGUAGCCACACUCGGUUCAACUAAAGUUGGAGAAACUGACACCCGCCAGCCACAUGUGUGCAAAGCACGUCGGUAGAACCAGUCUCGCGUAAGCGUAUGCGUAAUGUCGGUCCGGGCCGCUUCAUCCAACAAUAUUGCCGAACCAAAGUAUGACAUGCUGGUAAGCAGUAUGACUUAUAUCGCCCACAACUCACUUGUGUUCUACUCGUGCAUAUGACAUCUACGCAUAAAACCAGGCUCGGAUGCCACUGUUGGGGAACGUAGUAAUUUCAAAAAAAUUCCUACGCACACGCAAGAUCAUGGUGAUGCAUAGCAACGAGAGGGGAGAGUGUUGUCCACGUAUCCUCGUAGACCGAAAGCGGAAGCGUUAGCACAACGCGGUUGAUGUAGUCGUACGUCUUCAUGAUCCGACCGAUCAAGUACCGAACGCACGGCACCUCCGAGUUCAGCACACGUUUAGCCCGAUGACGUCCCUCGAACUCCGAUCCAGCCGAGUGUUGAGGGAGAGUUUCGUCAGCACGACGGCGUGGUGGCGAUGAUGAUGUUCUACCGACGCAGGGCUUCGCCUAAGCACCGCUAAAGUAUUAUCGAGGUGGACUAUGGUGGAGGGGGGCACCGCACACGGCUAAAAGAUCAAACGAUUAAUUGUUGUCUCUAGGGUGCCCCUGCCCCCGUAUAUAAAGGAGCAAGGGGGGGAGGUGCGGCCGGCCAGGAGGAGGCGCGCCAGGAGGAGUAGGACUCCCUCCCUUUCUUGUUGGACUAGGAGAGGAGAGGGAAGGAGAGAGGGGGAAAGGAAAGGGGGGGCGCCGCCCCCCUUGUCCAAUUCGGACUUGGGGGGGAGGGGCGCGUGGCUGCCCCUUGGCCGCCUCUCCUCUUCCACCAAUUGGGCCCAUGAGGCCCAAUAGCCUCCGGGGGGGUUCCGGUAACCCCCCGGUACUCCGGUAUAUAUCCGAUAACCCCCGGAACCAUUCCAGUGUCCGAAUAUAGUCAUCCAAUAUAUCAAUCUUCAUGUCUCGACCAUUUCGAGACUCCUCGUCAUGUCCGUGAUCACAUCCGGGACUCCGAACAACCUUCGGUACAUAAAAACAUAUAAACUCAUAAUAUAACUGUCAUCGAAAUGUUAAGCGUGCGGACCCUACGGGUUCGAGAACUAUGUAGACAUGACCGAGACACGUCUCCGGUCAAUAACCAAUAGCGGAACCUGGAUGCUCAUAUUGGCUCCCACAUAUUCUACGAAGAUCUUUAUCGGUCAGACCGCAUAACAACAUACGUUGUUCCCUUUGUCAUCGGUAUGUUACUUGCCCGAGAUUCGAUCGUCGGUAUCUCAAUACCUAGUUCAAUAUCGUUACCGGCAAGUCUCUUUACUCGUUCCGUAAUACAUCAUCCCGCAACUAACUCAUUAGUUACAAUGCUUGCAAGGCUUAUAGUGAUGUGUAUUACCGAGUGGGCCCAGAGAUACCUCUCCGACAAUCGGAGUGACAAAUCCUAAUCUCGAAAUACGGCAACCCAACAAGUACGUUCGGAGACACCUAUAGAGCACCUUUAUAAUCACCCAGUUACGUUGUGACGUUUGUUAGCACACAAAGUGUUCCUCUGGUAAAUGGGAGUUGCAUAAUCUCAUAGUCAUAGGAACAUGUAUAAGUCAUGAAGAAAGCAAUAGCAACAUACUAAACGAUCAAGUGCUAUGCUAACGGAAUGGGUCAAGUCAAUCACAUCAUUCUCCUAAUGAUGUGACCUCGUUAAUCAAAUGACAACUGAUGUCUAUGGCUAGGAAACAUAACCAUCUUUGAUCAACGAGCUAGUCAAGUAGAGGCAUACUAGUGACACUCUGUUUGUCUAUGUACUCACACAUGUAUUAUGUUUCCAGUUAAUACAAUUCUAGCAUGAAUAAUAAACAUUUAUCAUGAAAUAAGGAAAUAAAUAAUAACUUUAUUAUUGCCUCUAGGGCAUAUUUCCUUCAGUCUCCCACUUGCACGAGAGUCAAUAAUCUAGUUCACAUCACCAUGCGAUUUAACACCAAUAGUUCACAUCACCAUCUGAUUAACACCCAAAGGGCUUACUAGAAUCAACAAUCUAGUUCACAUCGCUAUGUGAUUAACACCCAAAGAGUACUAAGGUGUGAUCAUGUUUUGCUUGUGAGAGAAGUUUAGUCAACGGGUCUGCCAUAUUCAGAUCCGUAUGUAUUUUGCAAAUUUCUAUGUCAACAAUGCUCUGCAAGGAGCUACUCUAGCUAAUUGCUCCCACUUUCAAUACGUAUCCAGAUUGAGACUUAGAGUCAUCUAGAUCAAUGUCAAAACUUCCAUCGACGUAAUCCUUUACGGCGAACCUUUUUGUCACCUCCAUAAUCAAGAAACAUAUCCUUAUUCCACUAAGGAUAAUUUUGACCGCUGUCCAGUGAUCUACUCCUAGAUCACUAUUGUACUCCCUUGCCAAAAUCAGUGUAGGGUAUAAAAUAGAUCUGGUACACAACAUGGGAUACUUUAUAGAACCUAUGGUUGAGGCAUAGGGAACGACUUUCAUUCUCUUUCUAUCUUCUGCCGUGGCCGGGCAUGAAUAAUAAACAUUUAUCAUGAAAUAAGGAAAUAAAUAAUAACUUUAUUAUUGCCUCUAGGGCAUAUUUCCUUCAAUAUAUAGGAGGAAGAAGUACGUCGGUUGAGCAACGUGGGCCCCACGAGGGUGGAGGGCGCGCCCCCCUACCUCGUGCCCUCCUGGUUGCUUUCUUGACGUAGGGUCCAAGUCCUCUGGAUCACGUUCGUUCCAAAAAUCACGUUCCCGAAGGUUUCAUUCCGUUUGGACUACGUUUGAUAUUCUUUUUCUGCAAAACUCUGAAAUAGGCAAAAAACAGCAAUUCUGGGCUGGGCCUCCGGUUAAUAGGUUAGUCCCAAAAAUAAUAUAAAAGUGUAUAAUAAAGCCCAUUAAUGUCCAAAACAGAAUAUAAUAUAGCAUGGAACAAUCAAAAAUUAUAGAUACGUUGGAGACGUAUCAACCACAAACAAUUGCAAACCUAGAUUGCAAAACCCCGAAUGCUCUUUCAAUGUCUUUUCGGGCUGCCUCUUGCACCCUUGCAAUUUCACAAUGUUGUCUAGAUUUGGGAUCUUUGAUGCUCUUGACAAAGGUGCACCAAGGAGGGUAUAUACCAUCUGCAGGAUAGUACCCUUUUGUGUAUUCAUGUCCAUUGAUAGUGUAGUUACAAGCAGGAGCAUCACCACUAGCAAGCCUAGCAAACAAAUGAGACCGUCGCAACACAUUGAUAUCAUUGAGAGUGCCCGGCAUACCAAAGAAGCAAUGCCAAAUCUCGGAUGCUACGGCCUCUAGCACAAUUGUUGCAUCACGAGGCCACAAUACAUUCCUUGCCAUGCCUUUGGGCAAUUUUUCCAAGUCCAAUGCAUACAAUCAAUGCUACCUAGCAUGCUAGGCCAACCUCUCCUCUCAUUAGAUGCCAUCAAUUUCUUUGUGUCAUCCUCGUUGGGUGCCCGAAAAUACUCAGGACCAAAGACACGGAUGAUCACUUUUGCAAAUCUACGCACUGACUCAAUUGUAGUAUCUUCACCAAUGCGAAGGUACUCAUCGGCAUAGUUAGUCGGAACGCCAUAUGCAAUCACCCGCAUAGCUGCAGAGAUUUUUUGAUAUGCACAAAAUCCCUUUAAGCCUACAUCAUUUUUUCUUUGAGUAAAAUACCGGCAAUUUGCCUCGCAAGCUUGGACAAUUUUCACAAAGAGGGAUCGGCGCAUUCGGUACCUUCUCCGGAAGAGGUGCGGUGGAUAUGUUGGAUUCUCCGCGAAGUAGUCUUGCAUCAACAUCUUGUUCCCAAGAUGGCGAUUCCGAGGAAUGCAAAGACGCCCGACGGUCGAUCCUCGCCGCCUCUUCCGGUUCUCGUCUUCGUGCUCCUUCACGGCAAGUGCCAUCACUAAUGUCUGAAGCCGAAAGGUCGCUAGCAUGGUCUUAACAUCCGAGUCAUCCGAAUCGGAAAAAUCAAAGAGCAAGAACUUCUCGCACGGGCUCAAUUCCAUCUACAUGGAUAAGAAUCACACGGCGCGUCAAUCAACUAUGCAUACCGCUCGCAAAUAUCACAAAACAAACAUUAACCGGCGGCUCGUGUGGCGGGUGAUCCCGGGCGGCGACGANNNNNNNNNNNNNNNNNNNNNNNNNNNNNNNNNNNNNNNNNNNNNNNNNNNNNNNNNNNNNNNNNNNNNNNNNNNNNNNNNNNNNNNNNNNNNNNNNNNNNNNNNNNNNNNNNNNNNNNNNNNNNNNNNNNNNNNNNNNNNNNNNNNNNNNNNNNNNNNNNNNNNNNNNNNNNNNNNNNNNNNNNNNNNNNNNNNNNNNNNNNNNNNNNNNNNNNNNNNNNNNNNNNNNNNNNNNNNNNNNNNNNNNNNNNNNNNNNNNNNNNNNNNNNNNNNNNNNNNNNNNNNNNNNNNNNNNNNNNNNNNNNNNNNNNNNNNNNNNNNNNNNNNNNNNNNNNNNNNNNNNNNNNNNNNNNNNNNNNNNNNNNNNNNNNNNNNNNNNNNNNNNNNNNNNNNNNNNNNNNNNNNNNNNNNNNNNNNNNNNNNNNNNNNNNNNNNNGACGGGCGGAAGCAAAGGCGGGCGGCGCGGAAGGAGAUGGGGAAAGGCGCGCGGGCUGAAAUGUCCCUCCCACCAACCGCUUCUCUGGGAUGCGGGGCACCGCAUGGGCGAGGGGUAAACCCGCGUAUUCGCGGGUUGGGGCUGAAAUUUUGCCGCGCCCCUAGAAAAUUUUUGCAGGCCGGCCGCGUUUGCGGGGUCUGUUCGGGCGGGAUUUUCCGCGUCGACCCGCAUUUUGGCGGUUAUUUUACAGGUCGGGACUUUUUGCGGGGUCUGCUAGAGUUGCUCUUAGAACCCGAAUCUGCAUCCGCUGGCAGAGAGGAAAUGGGUUAGAGCAACUCCAAUGGGGCGGCCCAUUUCGUCCGCCGCCGUCCGUUUGGGUCGGCGCGGACAGAAAAGGCGGCACAACGCGCCGACCCAAACGGACGCGUGUCCGCUUGGCGUCCGCAUGGCAACCCAUUCCCGGCCAAAUUUUGAGCCGGAUUUGCGUCGACGCGGACACGAAACGGACGCGCGCGCGCGCCUACUCCUCUCCCCGGGCCCCCUGAUCGGUGGCAGCCACCACCAUUUCCCCCCAUUUUCCCCAAAAACACACCCGCCUGCGCGCGCUCCCGCCCCACACCCCGCCAUGGAGGACGCCAUCAACCUCGACGCCGCCGCCGGCCUCGCCUCCCUCUCCUCGUCCGGCGCCGCCGCCCCCUUCAGGAAAGGCAAGCCUCGUGCCCCGCGCAAGACCGCCGCCGCGACCAAGUCAAAGAAGGCGCUGACGCCCGAACAGUGGGCAAGGGAGUUAGCCAAGAGGAAGGGCCGGAGGCACGCCGCGGACACGAGGGAUGUAACACCCCAAAAAAUUUAACCAUGAUUUAUCAAUUAAAUUUUUUCCAGGAAAUUAAAUUUUUAUUUUCUGGAUUUAUCUUUUGAUUUCAGAACCUCUCUUUUCUUUGAUAUUGUGGAUUUUUUACCCCAAGUGAAAACUUUCCAAAAAUAUUAUUGGACUUGUAUACCCUCUCAAGAAAACAUUUCUUUUAUCAGUGGGUUUAUUUGCAUAAUUGUUUUUCCUGAGCUUUAUUCUUCUAAAAAUGAUUUUUCAUAAGUUAUGGAGCCUCUUUUGCACUGUAACCCUUUCAAAUACCUCUUUAAAAUUUCAACCAAAAUUUGGGGAUGUCAUGUGAUGUUUCCACAUCACUUUUAUGCAAAAAUAUCUUUUGGUCAUUGGAGAUUUUGAGCUCUACACCAAAUUUUCAAAUCUGGUCCAGUUGGUAAUUUUGCACUACAACCUAUUUAAAUAUUUCUUUAAAAAUUCUUCCAAGUGUUUGGAGAUGUCAGUAGAUGCAUAUAAUUCAACUUUAUGCAAAAACCCAUGAGUGUUCUUUGAAAAAUUUGAGCAAAUCAUCCUCUUUUGCUCUCUGGUCCAGUUUGGCAUUUUCUACUGCAACUCUAUUUUUGUUUGCUCUGUUGCCCAUGAUUCUUUUUCCUGCUUAUAGUCCACCCUGCAAAACCCUUAAGUCUAGGAGAGUGGACCCAUUGGAGUAUUUUUUGUUCAUGCAAUUAUAGCCUUCAGUUUCUGCCCAGAUUUGGUUUUCUCAAAAACUUGCACUAACAAGUUUCUGGUUUUGCCCAACUAACAUUGCCACCCUCUCUAUCAUCUAAAGAGACUAGGAUCUGGAGUUUAUGGCCACCCCAAGAGAUGCCUAGAUGCCCAUAACAUUCUGUCGAGCACUUUGUGUGCAUAGCGAGAUUUGGCAUGAUUUUUAGUUUGCAUUGUGAGCUUGACCCUCUGACCCAACAAACUUGUCCACUAAGCUCCUACCUACCACUAACCUAGACCUGUUUACUACCAGCAUCAUUCGAGCUCUCUAACAGACGUUGGCAUUUCGAUGAGCACGUAGCGUGCGUGCUCUGGGCACGGCUAGAGCGCGCGUUUUGCACGUGCGUGCGUCCGAGUCGCCGCGUCCCACUGCCGCCUCCCCGCACACGUUCUGGUCCCUCCCCUCGCACUGCCAGCGCGCCCCGACUCCUCCCUCAUCGCAGAGCCACCCGACCACCUUCUGGAGCCCCGCAGCGCCGCCGUCAGGUCGGCCGUGGCAGCUAGAGGGCGGCCGCAGCAGCCUCUGCCAUGGACGGCGCCGCCCAAGCCACACGCGCGCGCCAGCUGCCCCUGGAACAGCUCGAGCUCAUCCGCAAGCUCGUCUGCAAGCGCUCGUCGCCGCCAUGUCGCCCUGCCUGCUACAGAACGGCGAUUCGCCGUUCCUAUCCACGGCCACCGCGGAACCGACCUCGGCCGCCUAUAAAAGGAGCCCCCGAGCCCCUCCAGACACUCAGGCGACCUCAAGCAUUCCCCUAAAGCCCCCACGGCCAGCAAUCGACGGUGGGAAGCCUUCUUCCUCGUCUCCGAUCAGUUCGGCCGCCUCCACGCUCCGGUGCCAUACGUCACAAGCAGAGCCUUUCCCGUCCCUCCAGUGCUUCCAUCCUCCUCCCCUCGACCGUGCGGAGCUGCCCAACCUCUCAGCUUCGACGGGGAGCCACCGUAGCUCUAGUCCCCAAUCCUCCCGAAGCCACCUCCGCCGCGGAGCUCGCCGCCGGCGACUCCCUUCGCCCCCGCCAACCGUUCGACCACCGGGAGGACCGCCCUGGACUGGCGGAUCCAUCCCUGCCCUCGGAACCCAGUGGGGAGCCGCCUUUCGCCGGCGUCAAUCGCCGGAACCCCGCCACCGCUCGGACAGAGAAGGAGGGAGGCGCGGGCGACUGGUCAAACCUGACCAGUGGGCCCAAGGGACCCACUGUCAGUGACCCAGAGCCGGUCCACGCUGGCAUAAGUGAAGGCGUAAAGCACAGAGUACGCUUCCCCCCCCCCCCGAACCGUUUUUUCUGUUUCUUUUAUUUAUCUAUUUAAAAACAGAUUUUGACUAAACUUUGACUGGCUAUAACUUUUUAAAUAUAAGUCCAAUUGACUUGAUUCUUUUUCUGUUGUUUCUCAAAUUCUGUCUAGUUUAUUUUCAUAUUUAUUUGAAAAUUUUCCAAACCACUUUUUUGUACUGUUUUGAAACUAUGUGUUAAUUUGAAUUUUCUCAAAAUAGGAUUUUUGAAGAUGGAAGCAACUUUCAAAAAAAUGCACCCCACUUGCAUACUCUUGAAGGCAAGCAUUCUGAACCCUGGCAUAAUACUAUGUGUGUUGUUUGAUACGGUUACAACACCACCUUAACACAAAGUAUUCAUUAUUUUAUGUGAUGAUAUGAUCAUACUCAUGAGUGCAUAAUGAAUGUUCCUUGCUGUUGGAAUUUGAUAUGCUUGUGAUAGUAAUCACCCUUGUAUGCCUUUCAUGCCUACCGGAAGGAAUCCGGGAAAGUCUCUGUCUUGGGUAGACACGAGCUUGUCUCCAGUCUUCGUCGAGACGGUUGUGUCUGGUACGGCAUAGUGAGGUAUGAUGAGUGGUGAUUUUGUCUGUUGGUUGAAACAUAUUUGUUAUGCUAACCAUGCAGGGAAUACUUAAACCUCCUGAGUCGACCGUAGAUCGAGUCUUGUUCCAGUAACCCCCAUACUUGUUUCGUACUACCACUUGUCCCUGCCACAGGUAGGGUACGGUUCAGUAAGUUGUCAACCCCUUCCUAGCACACACCGUACAGAGAGGCCAUGGUGGAAGAUACCGGAGGCCCCCGGUAGGCAUGCCACCUGGUCUGGGGGCAUGGGUGUUUUCGGUUGGACCGAAGGGGUAGCUCCCCUAGUUUGCGCGCGGUAUAAAUUUUGUGAUCCCAUGCUAAUCGAGGUUGUAGCCUCCCCACUUAGAGUUUCGCUUAACGGGUGUCGUGGGUGAUUCCAGACACCGGUAAGUUAGGCUGGUGUGUGCGGUUAGGUGUGUUUUCAAUUAAAAGACCGUAGACGGAAUUAGUCCCGAUGGACUAAAGAAAUCCAUUACUCGUGGGUAAAGAGUACACCCUCUGCAGAGAUUAUAUCUAUUCGAAUAGCCGUGUCCAUGGUUAAGGACUACAGUCUGGAAUGGGUCAAGUGUCGGUCUUAGUGUCGGUCUUCGGAGGAAAAACUGCUAAAUCAGAACAUUGAUUAUGACCUGUGACAUGUGAGGAUUAUGAUUAUUAUUAUUGUGGACUAACCAUUUACAUUAUUUGAAUUAUUGAGUAUCCCUGGGACGAUUCUACCUCCUGGAUACUCACUGCGAUUAUUCUCUUAUAAGCCCUUUAUGUGGUGUCGCUCAGACGCCCGACUGUGGCAUGCUUGUUAUUUAAAUUACUUAUAAGCCCUUUAUGUGGUGUCGCUCAGACGCCCGACUGUGGCAUGCUUGUUAUUUAAAUUACUUAUAAGCCCUUUAUGUGGUGUCGCUCAGACGCCCGACUGUGGCAUGCUUGUUAUUUAAAUUACUUAUAAGCCCUUUAUGCGGUGUCGCUCAGACACCCGACUGUGGCACGCUUGUUAUUUUUAAAUUAUUUAUAAGCCCUUUAUGUGGCGUCGCUCAGACGCCCGACUGAGGCAUGCUUUAUAUUAUUAUCCUUUCGAGGCGUCGCUUCAGACACCCGAUCGGUGCAUUCUAUUUCUGCUCCCUUAUUGCAUAUUCAUAUGAACAACCUGCUUGCGUGCAUCAUGGAUUUUUAUUUCGUGGCUGACAUUGUGAUCAUAGAAUAUUUCAGAGCAUGAUCAUCAUUUGUUAUAUUAUACCUGUGUUCAUAAUGUUUGCGAGUACAUUCAAAGUACUCACUGGCUUGUCCCUGGCUAUUGUCUUGGCCAGAUUUCUUGCGUGGAGAGGAGCGUUGCGACGAUAGCCCCGGAACCUACGCAAUGAUGAUAGCAGCCUCGCGAAGAUAGGAGUUAUCCUGGUCAGCUGUUCCUGUGGGAAAUGGAGUCCCAUGGCCACUGACGAACCACAAACCGCUUCCGCCAUCAACCACUAGAAACCAUUUGUUGUACUCAUAGGCCAGAAUGGUCUUGUACCACAUAUUUUGUAUUUUGCUAGGAAUUUAUGUAUCAAGUUGGUGCCUCAUCAGCUAACAGUAAUCCUGGGGCUGGUGAGCACAAGGACCAUUUUUGGGAAAUUGAUACCCCGAAAAUCCGGUCCUGACAACCUUGGUAUCAGAGCCAGGCUGACCAUUGGCUAAUCCUAUCUUAGCCAGGUCAAUAAACCUAGGUUAGCCAACCCACUAGACCUUAACGUAACCCCGGCCAAGCUUCUCGUGUAAGAUAGCCACAAAGUGACCCGACACCUUUUGGCAGUCGGUGCCCAACCUAUCAGCCUAGCCUAUCGAUCACGCGCCAGUGACCGGCACCUAAAGUGUCUCAUUCGCAAGCGUGCGAAGGAAGACUCCGUCCCCUUUUUUUAUAAAAAGGGCACGCUAGCCUCAACCCAGCACAGCACAGCCUCUACCCCAAACCAAGCUAUAAUGCCUGGACCCAUUGUUCACAAUGAGACCACAGCAACCAACCUUGGAGGUUUUGUGACCGUGCUAGCAAACCUCACCCGCCGUGCCUUUGCAUUAGAAGAGCCCCCAGAAUAUGUUGUGUACUAAAGGCCCAUGAGCGGUGAGAGCCGUCAAUUCUGGGCCACUGUGCACGUCUACGGUAGGGGUCUAUUGCCAGAACGCCCCUACAGGUUCACCAGAAGGACAACUUCCUUUGAGCCACAAGCCAUCCAUCUAGCUGCUCGAGAGGCUAUAGUUCAACUCCGGCACUUGUCGCCCAGAGUUAACUGUCGCUCGUUCUACUACUACCCCAGCCGUGACGGGUAUGGUAGCCCACCCCAGGUUGCCAACGGAGAUCAUGAGACAGAUCCUGAAUUGUUGCAUCUGGUGCGCUAUGUAAGUGCACUAGAGGGACUGUUUGAUCAAAUCACCCUUGAUCUGAUCGCAGCUCGUGGAGAACUGAUUCGCCGAGCCCCGGCAAGAAGAGAAGAUGAGCCCGACGCCGACAACCCAGUCGUGCUGUUCGGACAACCGAUCGAGUCCUUGAGGACUGCCCCAGCCAUCGACCAAAAUGCUUUGGUGUCCCCAGAAGUGCUUCGUCGCCUUUUGGGAACACGCUCCAACGGGAUUGUGGCCAACAACCCCCGCGAUGGUCAUCAUCGCUACCCCGACCCUGCAGUUCCUCAACCCGCUGCAGCUAACCCCGAUGGUGAAACCUGUGGAGAAGCCUCGACGUCCACAAGGCAAGCCCGCUUAGAUAUUAACAAGGUAGACUAAGUCACUCGAGUAGUAUCGAGCCUGAGUUUUCCUAUGCCUCAUAAUUGUGUGACCUUGUAUCAACAUAAUUAAAUGCUGUCUGCUUGUGCACCCCUAUUUUAAAUAGUAGCCAUGCAUAAGUAUGUUGAUGUACGAUUGCUUUUUUUAUUCCGGGCGUAGCUACCAAAAACCACCCCCGACGAUACCCACAGCAAUGCGUCACAUUUAUGACAUAUGUGUAUCUGUGGCAUUGACCACGACCCCAAGAGCAGAACCGACAAACUAGUUACCCUUCACCGCGAUAAAUGACCCCGCCCAGAUGCUAUAUAAAAGGCCACCUCGUGACCUUGCCAAGUAUCUCUCACCUUGUGCAUAACUCUCACAGCCAUUCCUUUGCCAUGCCGAGCCCCAGUAUUUAUCUGAGAACUCCAGAUGCCACCCCAGGUAGUUUUGUCAAAAUAUUGUGGGACUUUACCUACAGUACCAUGAGUGCCAUCCAUCCACCCCAGUACGAGUUGCUCAAAUCGAGGAUCACCCCAUCCACCUCGAAAUAUUGGGCUGUAGUGCACAUCCCUCCCGCAAACCCAAACCAAGACCCAACGGAAGUCUCCUUCAUGGGGAAAUCUAUGCCGACUCCGCAAAUGGCCGUAGAAGCUGCUGCGUACGAAGCACUCGCUCGCCUUCGAUUCACGGUGCCCUAUGCCAGCGAACGAGGGUAUUAUUACUUCCCGAGUCGUGCAACACCCGGAGAAGUAGCAUCUUUCCCCAGUGGACGAAUUGAGAGAGACCCAGUGCUGGCCAACCUUGCACAGUAUGUCAUCGCUCAAGAGCGUUUAACCCAGCGAGUAAUGGGUUAUCUCGAGAGCCUCGCUGAUUUAAAUCCUCAGAUCGCCAUCGGCAGACCACUGAGGCCCGACCAGGAGAGACGCAUUCACCGACUAGUCAACCCGCUUCCCCCGAUAGAAGAGGAGUGUGCCCCAAUACCAGAGACGUUUUCUCAAGACCCUGUCCAUUUACCGUUUUCAUUGUAGACAUCACUGCUAUGUUCAUUGUCCCAGCAUUUAUUUAUGCGUUGCAGCUUAUGCGUCGUACCCUAAGUUUGUGCUAUGAGUAAACUGUUUCGUUUCAGCUAAUAGGAGUUUUUUUUCAAAACAGCCCUUAGCAAAUCUCGAGGACGAGAUUUUUCUUAAGGGGGGUAGUGUUGUAACACCCCAAAAAAUUUAACCAUGAUUUAUCAAUUAAAAUUUUGCCAGGAAAUUAAAAUUUUAUUUUCUGGAUUUAUCUUUUGAUUUCAGAACCUCUCUUUUCUUUCAUAUUGUGGAAUUUUUACCCCAAGUGAAAACUUUCCAAAAAUAUUAUUGGACUUGUAUACCCUCUCAAGAAAACAUUUCUUUUAUCAGUGGGUUUAUUUGCAUAAUUGUUUUUCCUGAGCUUUAUUCUUCUAAAAAUGAUUUUUCAUAAGUUAUGGAGCCUCUUUUGCACUGUAACCCUUUCAAAUACUUCUUUAAAAUUUCAACCAAAAUUUGGGGAUGUCAUGUGAUGUUUCCACAUCAAUUUUAUGCAAAAAUAUCUUUUGGUCAUUGGAGAUUUUGAGCUCUACACCAAAUUUUCAAAUCUGGUCCAGUUGGUAAUUUUGCACUACAACCUAUUUAAAUAUUUCUUUAAAAAUUCUUCCAAGUGUUUGGAGAUGUCAGUAGAUGCAUAUAAUUCAACUUUAUGCAAAAACACAUGAGUGUUCUUUGAAAAAUUUGAGCAAAUCAUCCUCUUUUGCUCUCUGGUCCAGUUUGGCAUUUUCUACUGCAACUCUAUUUUUGUUUGCUCUGUUGCCCAUGAUUCUUUUUCCUGCUUAUAGUCCACCCUGCAAAACCCUUAAGUUCAGGAGAGUGGACCCAUUGGAGUAUUUUUGGUUCAUGCAAUUAUAGCCUUCAGUUUCUGCCCAGAUUUGGUUUUCUCAAAAACUUGCACUAACAAGUUUCUGGUUUUGCCCAACUAACAUUGCCACCCUCUCUAUCAUCUAAAGAGACUAGGAUCUGGAGUUUAUGGCCACCCCAAGAGAUGCCUAGAUGCCCAUAACAUUCUGUCGAGCACUUUGUGUGCAUAGCGAGAUUUGGCAUGAUUUUUAGUUUGCAUUGUGAGCUUGACCCUCUGACCCAACAAACUUGUCCACUAAGCUCCUACCUACCACUAACCUAGACCUGUUUACUACCAGCAUCAUUCGAGCUCUCUAACACACAUUGGCAUUUCGACGAGCACGUAGCGUGCGUGCUCUGGGCGCGGCCAGAGCGCGCGUUUUGCACGUGCGUGCGCUCGAGUCGCCGCGUCCCACUGCUGCCUCCCCGCACCCGUUCUGGUCCCUCCCCUCGCACUGCCAGCGCGCCCCGACUCCUCCCUCAUCGCAGAGCCACCCGACCACCUCCUGGAGCCCCGCAGCACCGCCGUCAGGUCGGCCGUGGCAGCUAGCGGGCGGCCGCAGCAGCCUCUGCCAUGGACGGCGUCGCCCAAGCCACACGCGCGCGCCAGCUGCCCCUGGAACAGCUCGAGCUCGUCUGCAAGCGCUCGUCGCCGCCACGAGCCCUGCCUGCUACAGAACGGCGGUUCGCCGUUCCUAUCCACGGCCACCGCAGAACCGACCUCGGCCGCCUAUAAAAGGAGCCCCCGAGCCCGUCCAGACACUCAGGCGACCUCAAGCCAUUCCCCUAAAGCCCCCACGGCCAGCAAUCGAUGGCGGGAAGCCUUCUUCCUCGUCUCCGAUCAGUUCGGCCACCGCCACGCUCCGGUGCCAUACGUCGCAAGCAGAGCCUUUCCCGUCCCUCCAGUGCUUCCAUCCUCCUCCCCUCGACCGUGCGGAGCCGCCCAACCUCUCAGCUUCGAUGGGGAGCCACCGUAGCUCUAGUCCCCAAUCCUCCCGAAGCCACCUCCGCCGCGGAGCUCGCCGCCGGCGACUCCCUUCGCCCCCGCCAGCCGUUCGACCACCGGGAGGACCGCCCUGGACUGGCGGAUCCAUCCCUGCCCUCGGAACCCAGUGGGGAGCCGCCGUUCGCCGGCGUCAAUCGCCGGAACCCCGCCACCGCUCGGACAGAGGAGGAGGGAGGCGCGGGCGACUGGUCAAACCUGACCAGUGGGCCCAAGGGACCCACUGUCAGUGACCCAGAGCCGGACCACGCUGGCAUAAGUGAAGGCAUAAAGCACAGAGUACGCUUCCCCCCCUCGAACCGUUUUUUUCUGUUUCUUUUAUUUAUCUAUUUAAAAACAGAUAUUGACUAAACUUUGACUGGCUGUAACUUCUUAAAUAUAAGUCCAAUUGACAUGAUUCUUUUUCUGUUGUUUCUCAAAUUCUGUCUAGUUUAUUUUCAUAUUUAUUUGAAAAUUUUCCAAACCACUUUUUUGUACUGUUUUGAAACUAUGUGUUAAUUUGAAUUUUCUCAAAAUAGGAUUUUUGAAGAAGGAAGCAACUUUCAAAAAAAUGCACCCCACUUGCAUAAUCUUGAAGGCAAGCAUUCUGAACCCUGGCAUAAUAUUAUGUGUGUUGUUUGAUACGGUUACAACACCACCUUAACACAAAGUAUUCAUUAUUUUAUGUGAUGAUAUAAUCAUACUCAUGAGUGCAUAAUGAAUGUUCCUUGCUGUUGGAAUUUGAUAUGCUUGUGUUAGUAAUCACCCUUGUAUGCCUUUCAUGCCUACCGGAAGGAAUCCGGGAAAGUCUCUGUCUUGGGUAGACACGAGCUUGUCUCCAGUCUUCGUCGAGACGGUUGUGUCUGGUACGGCAUAGUGAGGUAUGAUGAGUGGUGAUUUUGUAUGUUGGUUGAAACAUAUUUGUUAUCCUAACCAUGCAGGGAAUACUUAAACCUCCUGAGUCGACCGUAGAUCGAGUCUUGUUCCAGUAACCCCCAUACUUGUUUCGUACUACCACUUGUCCCUGCCACAGGUAGGGUACGGUUCAGUAAGUUGUCAACCCCUUCCUAGCACACACCGUACAGAGAGGCCAUGGUGGAAGAUACCGGAGGCCCCCGGUAGGCAUGCCACCUGGUCUGGGGGCAUGGGUGUUUUCGGUUGGACCGAAGGGGUAGCUCCCCUAGUUUGCGCGCGGUAUAAAUUUUGUGAUCCCAUGCUAAUCGAGGUUGUAGCCUCCCCACUUAGAGUUUCGCUUAACGGGUGUCGUGGGUGAUUCCAGACACCGGUAAGUUAGGCUGGUGUGUGCGGUUAGGUGUGUUUUCAAUUAAAAGACCGUAGACGGAAUUAGUCCCGAUGGACUAAAGAAAUCCAUUACUCGUGGGUAAAGAGUACACCCUCUGCAGAGAUUAUAUCUAUUCGAAUAGCCGUGUCCAUGGUUAAGGCCUACAGUCUGGAAUGGGUCAAGUGUCGGUCUUAGUGUCGGUCUUCGGAGGAAAAACUGCUAAAUCAGAACAUUGAUUAUGACCUGUGACAUGUGAGGAUUAUGAUUAUUAUUAUUGUGGACUAACCAUUUACAUUAUUUGAAUUAUUGAGUAUCCCUGGGACGAUUCUACCUCCUGGAUACUCACUGCGAUUAUUCUCUUAUAAGCCCUUUAUGUGGUGUCGCUCAGACGCCCGACUGUGGCAUGCUUGUUAUUUAAAUUACUUAUAAGCCCUUUAUGUGGUGUCGCUCAGACGCCCGACUGUGGCAUGCUUGUUAUUUAAAUUACUUAUAAGCCCUUUAUGUGGUGUCGCUCAGACGCCCGACUGUGGCAUGCUUGUUAUUUAAAUUACUUAUAAGCCCUUUAUGCGGUGUCGCUCAGACACCCGACUGUGGCACGCUUGUUAUUUUUAAAUUAUUUAUAAGCCCUUUAUGUGGCGUCGCUCAGACGCCCGACUGAGGCAUGCUUUAUAUUAUUAUCCUUUCGAGGCGUCGCUUCAGACACCCGAUCGGUGCAUUCUAUUUCUGCUCCCUUAUUACAUAUUCAUAUGAACAACCUGCUUGCGUGCAUCAUGGAUUUUUAUUUCGUGGCUGACGUUGUGAUCAUAGAAUAUUUCAGAGCAUGAUCAUCAUUUGUUAUAUUAUACCUGUGUUCAUAAUGUUUGCGAGUACAUUCAAAGUACUCACUGGCUUGUCCCUGGCUAUUGUCUUGGCCAGAUUUCUUGCGUGGAGAGGAGCGUUGCGACGACAGCCCCGGAACCUACGCAAUGAUGAUAGCAGCCUCGCGAAGAUAGGAGUUAUCCUGGUCAGCUGUUUCUGUGGGAAAUGGAGUCCCAUGGCCACUGAUGAACCACAAACCGCUUCCGCCAUCAACCACUAGAAACCAUUUGUUGUACUCAUAGGCCAGAAUGGUCUUGUAUCACAUAUUUUGUAUUUUGCUAGGAAUUUCUGUAUCAAGUUGGUGCCUCAUCAGCUAACAGUAAUUCUGGGGCUGGUGAGCACAAGGACCAUUUUUUGGAAAUUGAUACCCCGAAAAUCCGGUCCUGACAAGGGGUGAGGCCGCCGUCGUCGCCGCUGCACAGCAGGAGGUCACCAAUGCCCGCGUCGCGGCGGCAACGAGGGAGGCGCUCUACAUGCUAGGAUUAAACCCUAGCCAGCACGGCCUCGUCCAAGCCGCCGUCGCCGCGGCCAACACCGGCUCGUCGGCGUUUCCUUGGAUGGUGCUGCCCGACUCGCCCCGGGCGUCGGCUUGCAACCCGAUCCCCGGCUUCCAGUUCUUCCCGCAGGCCUCCCGCCUCUCCGAGAGUGCUCGCCUGAUGUGAGCGUGGUCGCGCCUUCCACGCCCGCGCCUGCGCCCAUCGACCUCAACGCCACCCCGGUGGCCGGUGGCUCGUCAUCCGGAGGCGCGAGGAAACGCGCGCGGCAGACGCCAGCCGGCGUGCUCCCAGACACCCACAACCUGUUCAAGGAAAUGCCGUCCGUCGACGAGGACUACAUGAAAAACCUCAUCUUCGAGGGCGGUGCGCCGACCGCUGGCUACGAUCCCGACGAGACACAAAGCCAGGAUGGCCGCGUGGCAUUCACGCCGGCCGCUGGCUAUGAUCCCGAUCAGGCGGCCUUCAUGCGUGAUCAGGUCGGCAUCGACCUGGACGGCUUCCCCCUCGACCACGAGUUCCCGGCCGACUACGGGCUAGAGGAAGAGUACGAGUGUGACAUCGAAGUGGAGCCUUUGUUCGGGGACGAGCUCGCCAACCAAGCCGCCGGUCCUAAGCCGAAGCGCAAGAGCAAGCGCACGAAGGCGUACACGGCGGCCGAGGAUAAGCUUCUUUGCGAGUGUUGGCGAGACAUUGGACAAGACCCCAAGACGGGCGCCGAGCAAAAGCAUUCAACCUUUUGGAUUCGUGUCCACCGAGAGUUUCAUGAGCGCAAGAAGUUUCCGCCUUACCAAUUUGUGAGUACGCGCGGGUGGGUCUCCAUUUCCAAGCGGUGGAGGGUGAUCCAACAAGUGUGCAACAAGUUUUGAGCCACUCUUGAGAGCGUCAAGGCCCGCCCCGUUAGCGGCAUCGGCAUGCAAGACAUGGUAUACUAGCAAGCCGCCCUCUUUUGUGUCAUCAAGUUCAUCCUUUGCGUGUUCAUUUGCAUAUCACUUGCCCAUAUGCUUGCAUGAAAACAUUUUGUAGGCAUUUCAAGCUUUGGAGGCAUUCAAGGUUCAACACAAUGGCAAGUGCUUCAACCUUUCCCAUUGCUAUCGGGUCAUCAAGGACGAGGAGAAGUUCAAGGCGCAAUAUGCAGCACUCAAGUCGCGUGGGGGGAAGAAAGCCGUGGAGGAUGUUGAGGAGGGCGAGCCGGCACGACCGCGGGGGAAGACCAACUCCAAGAAGAAGGACAAGCGAGAUGCGGCCACCAACGCCUUGAUCGCAAGCGUGGACGGCAUGAUGAAUAAGGAGGACUCAAGGGAGCAGGAGCGCCAACGUUUCAAGGUGGAGCAAAUGGAUGCUUUCAUGGAGAUCUAAAUGAGGAGGCUUGUUCUCGACGCUGAGAAGCAAGCCAAGAUGUUCGAGCUAGAGGCGGAGAAGCAAGCCAAGAUGCUAGAGAUCGAGGCCGCCAACACCAAGACCAAGACAAAAGAAGUGGCUCUCGCGAGCAUGAUGACCGGGGUGGAGAUUAUGAAGGUAGAUCUCAACACCGUGUCGCCAAGAAAGAGGCCGUGGUUCGAGAAGAUGCAGGCCGACAUGCUCAAGUUCGACGACGAGUGAUCUAUGGCGGCGAGCGCCAUCUUUUUGUUGGAAAUAUGCCCUAGAGGCAAUAAUAAAAUGGUUAUUAUUAUAUUUCCUUGUUCAUGAUAAUUGUCUAUUGUUCAUGCUUUAAUUGUGUUAUCCGGAAACCGUAAUACAUGUGUGAAUACAUAGACCAUAACAUGUCCCUAGUGAGCCUCUAGUUGACUAGCUCGUUGAUCAAUAGAUGGUUACGGUUUCCUGACCAUGGACAUUGGAUGUCAUUGAUAACGGGAUCACAUCAUUAGGAGAAUGAUGUGAUGGACAAGACCCAAUCCUAAGCAUAGCACUAGAUCGUGUAGUUCGUUUGCUAAAGCUUUUCUAAUGUAAAGUAUCAUUUCCUUAGACCAUGAGAUCGUGCAACUCCCGGAUACCAUAGGAAUGCUUUGGGUGUACCAAACGUCACAACGUAACUGGGUGGCUAUAAAGGUGCACUACAGGUAUCUCCGAAAGUGUCUGUUGGGUUGGCUCGGAUCGAGACUGGGAUUUGUCACUCCAUAUGACGGAGAGGUAUCUCUGGGCCCACUCGGUAUUGCAUCAUCAUAAUGAGCUCAAUGUGACUAAGUAGUUAGUCACGGGAUCAUGCAUUACAGAACGAGUAAAGUGACUUGCCGGUAACGAGAUUGAACGAGGUAUUGGGAUACCGACGAUCGAAUCUCGGGCAAGUAAAGUACCGAUUGACAAAGGGAAUUGUAUACGGGAUUGCUUGAAUCCUCGACAUCGUGGUUCAUCCGAUGAGAUCAUCGUGGAACAUGUGGGAGCCAACAUGGGUAUCCAGAUCCCGCUGUUGGUUAUUGGCUAGAGAGGUGUCUCGGUCAUGUCUGCAUGAUUGCCGAACCCGUAGGGUCUACACACUUAAGUUCCGAUGACGCUAGGGUUAUAAGGAAGGUUUGUAUGUGAUUACUGAAUGUUGUUCGGAGUCCCGGAUGAGAUCCCGGACGUCACGAGGAGUUCCGGAAUGGUCCGGAGGUAAGAUUUAUAUAUGGGAAGUCACCAUACGGUCACCGGAAAUAUUCGGGGGUAUACCGGUAUUGUACCGGGACCACCGGAGGGGUUCCGGGGGUCCACCGGGAGGGUCCACCUGCCCCGGAGGGCCUUAUGGGCUGUAGGUGGAAGGGAACCAGCCCUUAGUGGGCAGGGCGCCAACCCCCCUAGGGCCCAUGCGCCUAGGGUUUGGGGGGGACCCUAAAGGGGGUGCCCCCCUUGCUUGGGGGGCAAGGUCCCUCCCCCCUUGGCCGCCGCCCCCCUCUAGAUCUCAUCUAGAGGGGCCGGUCCCCUUCCCCCUUCUCCCUAUAAAUAGAGGGGUGAGGGGAGGGCUGCAGGACCACAUCCAAGGCGCAGCCCCUCCCCUCCCCAACACCUCUCCUCCUCCGCGUGUGCUUGGCGAAGCCCUGCCGGAGAACUGUCACUCCACCACCACCACGCCGUCGUGCUGCUGUUGGAGCCUUCUUCCUUAACCUCUCCCUCCUCCUUGCUGGAUCAAGGCGUGGGAGACAUCACCGCUCCGUAUGUGUGUUGAACGCGAAGGUGCCGUCCGUUCGGCGCUUGGAUCACCGGUGAUUUGGAUCACGACGAGUACGACUCCAUCAACCCCGUUCUCUUGAACGCUUCCGCUCGCGAUCUACAAGGGUAUGUAGAUGCACUCCUCCCCUCUCGUUGCUAGUAAACUCCAUAGAUUGAUCUUGGUGAUGUGUAGAAAAUUUUAAUUUCUGCUAUGAUUCCCCACACUUUUUUGUAUGCGACAGAUCGUGGCGAGCCGCGCCUGGGCCGAGAGCUCCGCCCCCUUCCUCUUCCUAGAGGCCCUCAUGUACGGGGGCCUCAAGGUCCUCAUCUACAACAUCCUUGUGCUGGUCGCGCUUCUCGCCCUGUUGAUGUGCGUGGCCUACGUGUUUGCACUUGUAUCUGGAUCCACUUCGGCAUUCAAGAAGGUAUCGCGCAAAUUGACUCCGUGUGAUCUUUAUUCCGGUCGAAUUACAGCAGUAAUGCAGUACAUAUGCUAGUGGGUGAGCCCUGUGUUAUCAUUAUGUUCGAACUAAGUUGCCAUAUACAGUUCAGGUUGUCCUGAUCAGUGGCACUAGUUUUUUCCAUGUGUGUUCAUGUUCAUCACUUCAUUUGCAUCCUUCCAUUUCCGAACCAUUCUGUACAUACUCAUGUUCAUUUCAUACCUGUGGUUUUGUUGACAUUGCUGUCCUCAGAGCGCCCUAGAAACAUUCACGCGGGAGUCGGUUGCAGAAUCGUUCAGGCUUCCGCGCACCGCGGUGCUUGGAUUGGUUGCGGAUGUGGCCUUCUUCCUUCUAGUGGUCGCUGGUCUUCUGGUAGCGAUGAUGUCGCCGCACGUGGAGGGUUCGAUGUCUCAGGGUGAAAUGGCCGCCUCUGUAAUCAUGGAUGUGGCAGUAUUUGGUAUGCACGCGACAGCUUGCUUUGUUAUCAUCCCAGCGCUCAUUCUUAGUGUGUGGAGGGGGGGUCAGGAGGACAGGAAAGCUCCAUCGCAGUUUUGUUGAGGUAUACUACCCCCUUUGCUUUGCCCCUGCAUCAGCCAUAUGGUCUUUUCAAUUAUAAUCUGUAUAUUUUGUGUAUCCUCCUCAUAGAAUGAAAACAGUCCUCUAGUGUUGUUGACUACUGCUUACUGCUGUUGAUAUUUGUUAAGAUGGAGCAUUGCAUAUAAAACCAAUGAGGUUUUUGCUAUUUCCUCUGGUCAUUGCAUAUUAAAUUGGGAUUGACAUCAAUCUUAACUGUGCAAGUAGUCGAACUAGUGCAGUUCUACCGUAUGUGUUUGUUAUGAAGUGAUGAUAAUAAAAGUGAUCAGUUGCACGUAUUAGAAAAAAACAAAUUAAUUGCCUACAGUCCGUUCACUGUGAUUGUUUUAUCUUUGCAGCGAGUGAGAUAUAACAAUGUUUGCAUGCUAGCUUCCAAACUGUUUGCAAGCACCUUUCAUGAGUUUUCUUGUCAUUGCUAAUUUCUCCAUUGAAACCAAUGGAAAGACCCAAAGUUUUGAAGUUUUGGUUAUGGCAUACGAGUCUAUUCUUCUUAGCUGCAUUUGGUAUUUAUGACUUUGUGCCAUGUUCCCUCACUCUGGUAAAAGAAGUGAACUGUUUUUUUUAGGGGUAUGCAAAUUGCGUACCAUAGCUUUAUAGAAGGCAGAGGUAAAUGUACAAGAAAUAUCCAAGCCACUCUCAACACAAGCCAGUGCAAGAGCAAAGAAACUCCUAAAACCAUACACCACUCUUCACUAAAGUGUUGAACUCCUCUAGCUCCGGCAAGAGCCCACAACUUGAGCUCUUGAAAGAUUUUUGAAGCCAAUACCCAUUCAGAUACCGUGUCAUGCCUACCAAACACUCUUCCAUUCCGUUGCUUCCAAAUACUCCAACACACAAUAGUGAUCAUCGAAACAAACCCUUUCCUUUCCUGUACCUUUUAGGAAUGUGUUUGCGAUUAGAGCUCCACCAAGAUUCAAGAUGAUCCGUCAUCAUCGGCAGCAGCGCCAAAUCAAUCCUCCCCUCCUGAAGCAGAGAUACCAUACCUGACUAGAAACAUCGCAGCAAAAUAUGAUCCACAAUAUCUUCUUCUUGAUCGCAUGGAAAGCACGAUGAGCUCUGAUCCUGCAAACCGUGCCUCAAUCUCCAAUCUGAGGUCCACAGUCGAUAUUGCAGUGCAAGCCACAUAAAUAUCUUACAUGACAGGGGAGCCCAACACUGCUAAACUGCCGAUGCACAUUGGAAGUUUGGAACUUGAUGGCACCCUCCCACAGCAUGUGAUUGGAGAAGCCGAGGUGUGCUGCCCUGAACGUUCCACAUACAUAUCGCAACAUCUUCCUGGUCAGGGGAGUUUUGCAUGGGCAGUAGAAUCUCCCAUAGCCGGAUGAAUUGCACUAGCCCAUUGGUAGAGAGCUCUCCCACAAUGUUAGAUGCCUAGCUGUGAAGAUACAAGCCCUCUUUAACCAAUCUGUGAUUGAUCACCUGGGUCCGGACGUGUGGCGUAAUUUCCGCCAGCCUAGCACCAUUAAUCCAACGGUCUCUCUAGAAUAAAACUCAAUCCCCAGCUCCCACUGCCAAUGCACCAACCUGUCGAACGCUUCCUGGUCCCGAGGAUCAGGGGGCAUGUUCAAUCCCUUCCAGGGUCUAGUAUCGUCCGUGUGCUUCAAUCAACCAUUCCCGAUGUAGGCGCAGCGCAAUACCUUGCCUCCUGAGAUCAAUCACUCCCAAGCCUCCGAGGCAUUUUGGCCUACAAACACGCCACCAGGCCACGUGGCACUUCCCGCCAUGGGUUUCUUCUGUCCCAGCCCAAAAGAAGGCACUGCAGUCCUUGUCAACACAAUCAAGUGUCCACUUUUGAGCAUCUGCCACAAUCAGGUGAUGCGUAGGACAGGCUCUGAUAACAUUUUUCACAAGGAUCAGCCGUCCCGGCCUGGUGAUCAAACCUCUCUGCCAUGUCGGAAGAAAUCGCAGCACUGAAUCAACUAUCGGUUGCCACUCCGACCUCGUGAGCUGUUUGAUGGAGAGCUGUAGCCUCAAAUAUUUGCAGGGAAAAACUUCCAUCUUCCACGACAUCGCCGCAGCCACCAUCUCCUGAUCUCCCUCUUCCGCACAGAUCAUAAUGGCCGAAGACUUGUUGAAGUUCACUUAAAGACCCGAAGCAGCUCCAAAAAUGCGUACAGAUUCACGGACACACAUCAAAUCGAUUGCCAUCUGCCUGAUGAAUAGUACCACAUCGAGGUGACCAUCCUGGCAAUGCACUGAGCACUCCACAUUCCUGUGCUCGGGUGACCGAGGUCAAGGUGUCCAUGGCGAUCACAAAAUGGAGGGGCGGGAGCAGAUCUCCCUGACGAAACCCACAUGCAAUGCAUGAAUUUCGCCCAAGCUGAGCCAUUUACCACCACUCAAUUACUAGCCGUCGUGAACAGUAGCAACCCAAGCUCUCCAGAUCUUCGAGAAUCCUUUAGCUCGUAGCACCUCAAACAGGAAGGGCCACGAGUCCCUUGGCCUUCCACUUGUGCAGCUUCCUCGCUAACUGCUGGACAAGCAUGAAAUUAUCAUGUAUAUUUCUCCCUUUUAUGAACGCCGAUUGAUUCACCAUUAUCAGAUCUUUCACGUCGGUUGUGUCUCGUCGCGAGCAAUUUAGCACAUAGCUUCAGUAUACUGUGUACCCAGCUAAUCGGACGAAACUCACCGAUCGUGCAUGCAUCCGGCUUUUUUGAAUGAGCAUGAUCAGGGCUUGAUUGAAUCUACCAAAACCGCGGCCGUCAUAGAGAAACAGCUUAUGAAUCGCUGCCAUGACACCUCCUUUAAUGAUCGCCCACACCUUCUGGUAGAACAAGCAAAAAAAAAAACACGGGGCCAGGCGCACGUUCUGCCGGCAUCUCCUUGAAUACCGCCCAGACUUCCUCUUAAAACAAAAUCAGGUCUUGGUCACUAAGAUCCACCUGGGCAAUGUUAAGGAAUUCCAAAUCUUUUUUUGACGAAAAACAGCAGAGUUGCUGAUUUCAUUCAUUAAGAUAGGAGGAAACACCCCUGGAGAAACAAAUGCUGAUGUGCACAAAAGCAUGAAAUAACUCCUCGCCGUGUUUUUUUUAACCGCCAUCAAGGCAUUUUAUUACUGAGUUGGCGGAACAACUCCUGAUUGCACUUGGGCAAUCAAGAAGGCAGGGAUUACAUAAAAAAAGGAGCUACAGCACUCCAAGCUCAGUGCUUCCUUUGCACACAGGUGAGCAGCAAAGUUCGCACUACGAUUAGAAAACACUAAAGCAAAUCCCUGAAAUUGUGAGAGCUGCGUCUUCAUCUCUCUGAAGAUAUGUCCGGCCUCGGAGCGAUCAUGUCCCGCUUCCCAUGCCGUUGCAAUCAUCUGACAAUCUGUCUCCAGGAUCACCUUCCGGUAACCCUUUUCCAAAGCCAUGCACACGCAAUCUCGACAGGCUAACGAUUCAAUGAUGAAUGGGUCUGUUAUAGCUUCGUACUUUAGUUGCCUGUGCUGCGACAAAUGUACCUGAUUGAUCCCUCGCGAUCGCCCCAGUCCCCGCACACUUUUGUGCACAUCCGAUUGCACCGUCAGUGUUAACUUUGAUCCAGCCAGCGCCCGGAGGCUCCCACUUAGGCUGUGGUUUAGCGUGUAGCACCUCCUUGCCGGAAUGUCCAGAGCUCUCACAAGCUCUUGUCUGUGCGGUUGAUAGCUGAUCUCCCUGUUUGUGUACUUGUUUCUGUUGUUCAAAAUCGCCCACAAAACCGACACAGGCACCGCUGUAUCCUUCUUACUCACGAAGUUGUGAUCCAGUAAGUCUCUCGCCCACGCCACAUGGUGUAACGUAGGAAGUUUUAACUCAAAAAAAUCACUGGCUGCGUCCCAAAACAGCACUGCAUGAUCGCAAACUAUCAGCGCAUGAAAUAAGGAUUCAUUGCUUCCUCCGCACAUUGGGCAAAUUGCAUCCGAUCUGAUAUGACGCCUGUAUUAUUCCCCAUGUGCUGGUAACAUAUCCUUCAGUACUCUCCACACAAAGACACGAAUUUUUGGUUGUACUUGUAGUUUCCAAUUCCAUAGAGCCUUCCAUGUUUCCUCUCCACCAUCAGAAGAUGAAGUCUGAACUUGCAAAUUGAACUUCUUGUCCAUUGCCAUUCUAUAAGCGGAUCGGACCGUAUACGACCCAGACUUCUCCCAUGCGCAACCCCAAAAAUCUGGGCAUACAACUCUUGGUCGCGGCAUGCUCAAGAUUGCAUCCGCUUCAGGGGCAAUAAUCAUACUCCGAACCAAACUUGUGUUCCACUGCCCUGAUUCAUCAAGAAGAUCAGCAACUAUGUGUACUGGCUCAUCAGAUAGACGGCAUAUGGGUUUCAUGGACACAGUUCCAGCCAUUGGCGGACCCAGAGGGUGUGCCGGGUGUGCCGUGGCACACCCAACAUUUUACAGAUUUUUUCACUAUAUGUCAUCUUUUUCUGAUUUUAUUGGUUUUACAGUACUAGAACUAAUUCAUCUGAAGCUGUACACGUACAUGCGAACCUAGCAAACCGUAGAAGCAGCUCGACUUUUUUUCUACUAGAGCACUAUGUGUGUGUCCAGCUAAAGACUCCUGUACACAUACAUGAGCCCGGUAGAAGCUAGCUAGAUCAAUUCCAUCGAUCAAUGUUGGCAAAAAAAAUCAACCCUAGCAGCGACUCGUGUAGAUUGCAAACAGAAAAAACGAAAAAAAAAAUUAGGACUCUUCGGUCUGCCCCGUUAUUUCUUGAGACAACUUCGACCUAUCAUGUGCUAUUUUCAACGUUUUUCUUUUUGCGAAAAGGAUCAAAUCAACUAUAAAGGUUCACUGGAAGUACAAAACACCUCGAGAUCCAUGGACCACCGAACGACCAGUGCCGCCGACGCGCCGCUGUCGUCGCUCCCCUACCGGAGACGGCCCGAUCUUGUCGAUGACAGCCGGGAAGUCUUCGUGCACGUGCCAGGAAGUCUCCCCCGAGGAGCUGGCAGGAAUCUACGCCGGAGCUCCGUCUAAUCCGUCCCAACGAACGAAGUUGAGGAGGAUUGGAGCCCGGAAGACUGACUCGAAGAAGAAACGCCAUCAUUCGUCUGAACGCCGCCCCUGCGAGGACUAAAAUCCUACCUAUCUACUAGCCGGAUUCGACACAUCAGAAAUCCCCUCCCUGCCACUGGCCGCCGGAGUGGCAGGCGGAGAGAAGGCGAAUCCACGUACUCGCUGGUGAAUCGAGGGGGGGAAGGCUUUCCCUAAUUGCCCUGCGAGAGGGGAAAAAAACUAGGUAUAACGAGAUUUGAUACUUCCUGCCGUCCACGUCCGCCGUUCCUGCAUCUCCGUACUGGUCCUAGCUCAAGUGUAUUUCUUCUUUUCAAUAUUUACAGACGCUCGUGAAUCUUCCAUGCCUAUUUAAUGCAUCAAAUCCCGAGACGGUACUCAACCGCCCAUAUAUAGAGUGCAUUCGCGCUCGAGCGCAGAAACACCACGUCCGAUUGGUAGUAUUAUCUCCAUUUUGUUGAAAACAUGAGGUCAAAUAAAGAAGGUUGCAGCUGAAGGGCAAACCGAAGUUAUUCUUGUGUAUCUUUCAUGUAAGACUAUUUGUAUUGUAAUUUCGCAAAUUUGAAAUUAUUUUCUAAAACAUAAUAUUGUGAGACUUGAUUGAGCUAUUUGUGUUAUUCUUUUGCCAUACAUGAUAUGACACUUAGACUUGGCAGAUUUUUUUGAAGUGUGCACACCCUCCAUUUUUUUCCUAGGUCCGCCACUGGUUCCAGCUAUCCACUUGUCAUGCCAUACUUCAGUCGUCCUUCCGUCGCCGACGCGCCUAAUCAGGCCUUCCUUCAACAUGCUUCUGCCAGCAAUGAUGGCUCUCCAUGUAGGUGAUGCACUCCUUGGGCAAUCUGCACUCAAGAACUCACCAUUAGGAUAAUACCCCCCUUUUAGUACAUGUGCACACGAACUGUCAGUCCUCUCCAAUAGCCUCCAUGCCUGCUUUGCCAACAUGGCAUCGUUAAAAAUCUCUGAAUUCCACCCCCGCUCUAAAUUUUGAGAUGUACAUUUUAUCCCAUGACUGCCAGUGCAUUUCUCUUUUAUCCAGUGACCCCACCCACCAGUACAUGGACAUCACUGUCAUGACUUCUCUGCGCAACCCCUUUGUGAGCUUGAAACAGGUCAUAGCGUAGGUUGGUAAAGCCUGAACCACUGUCUUAAGGACUUCCUUUGCUGCACAUGAAAGUUUUUUUUCACACCAGCCUUGCACCCUGCAUCUUGAACACUCAUGGAUGUGCUCAAAGUGACGUUCUGUGAGCCUACCAGAGGGAGUUGGUAGCCCAAGAUAUUUUUCUGUGAGUGCUUCUCGCUGAAUAUGCAUUUCGUACAACCACUCGAACAGAAGCUCCAGAAUUCCCACUGAAAAAGAUCGAGCUCUUCUGCUUAUUUGCUCGCUCCCGAACCUUCACUAUAAACACUCAGAAUUUCAUUCAGCCGAGUUGCACUCCUAACAUCGGUCUUCAUGAACACAAGACAAUCGACUGCAAAUAAAAGAUAUGAGACCCACGGGGCCGUGAAGCCCACUCGAAUUCCUCUGCCAAUCCAUCCCGCAUCAUAAUUCUUGAGCAGACAUGAUAAUCCUUCCCCACACAACAAGAACAAAUAUGUGGAUAUGGGAUCCCCUUGUGUAAACCCUCUUGUAGGUUUAAAAGAGAGAAGAAGCUCCCCAUUCACCUUUACCUGAAAGCUGACUGAGGUAACACAUUUCAUAACUAGAGAAACCCAUACUUCUGCAAAACCAAGCUGCUGCAUAACACCUUGUAAAUAUGGCCAUUCGACUCGGUCAUAAGCUUUCAUCAUAUCGAUUUUAACUGCACACCAUCCAUGUUUACCCUUCUUUCGCUUCAUAGAGUGGGUGCACUCAUAAGCUGUGAGUACAUUGUCUGUGAUCAGUCUCCUAGGUACAAAUGCACGGUGUUCUUCUGCUAUAAUCUCAUCAAGGAUCUCACGAAGGCGGUUAACCAAAACUUUAGAACAUAAUUUGUAAAUGACGUCGCAUAAGGAGAUCGGCCUAUACCGGGUAGUAUUCCUUGGAUGUUUCACUUACGGUAUAAGAACUAUUACCGUUUUGUUGAUCAUUUCCGGCAUAAGAUCAUCAUGUAGAAACCCGAGCACCGCCUGGGUUACAUUCUCCUUAAUGAGGUCCCAACGCAGCUGAUAAAAGCCGGCAUUAAAUCCAUCCACCCCCGGCGCCUUUGAUGGUUUCAUGGAGAAAAGUGCUGCGCGCACUUCCUCUGCUGUAAAUGGCCUUAAAAGCAUUUCGUUCAUCUGGUCUGUAACCAUUACCGGAACGUGAUGUAAAACUGCCUCAAUAUCCAGCUCCUCCUGUGCUCUGUACAGGUCGGUAUAGAAACCUUGAAUUUCUGCCACGACUUCCUCACUCUCGCGAAGAACACCUGCACCAUCUUCAAGUGAGACAAUGCGAUUCUGGCUCUUCCUAGCAGCUGCUUUCGCGUGGAAGAAUCCGGUGUUGUGAUCACCCGUGUGUAACCAGUCCACCCUAGAUCUUUGCUUUGCCAUUACCUCUUCCCCGUAUUGAUCCAUAAUGGUGUCACCCCCAUGGGUAAUUGCCGGUAUGCUUUUUUUUUCUUCCCAUUGGCAAUAAAGAUUGAGAAGCUUCGUAUUAGCAUCUCUGUCUCUCAGCCAGCUUAUACCUGAGCAUUGUCUCGCGAUCAUACGCUCAAGCGAUGCAAGACCCAGCACUAGCUGCUUCGACGUGCGUCUCAACCACCUCCCCUCCGCCGAGAGAGACCUCCAAUCCUGAGCACAAUCGAGGCGCAAAAUCACAUAAUUUGCGAUGGUGAUCUGCAGCUUCACAUUCCCACUGCUCUUUUGUCCCCAAGCCGUGAGAUAACGUGCUGUGUUUCUCAACAGCAAAUAUAAGCGCUUGAACGGGUCAGUAAUGCAGUGUCGCAGGCCCACACCUCUUUGACCGCCUCCUCAAAACCCUUAAGUUUUGCCCAGGAAAUCUCAAACCUGAGGCGGCGCCUUGGUUGAAUGUGCUCACUCAGCGUCAAAUGAAGCGGACAAUGAUCAGAGUACGCCGUGGAUAGCACCUGAAGGAAACAGUCCGGAUGCUCCAAUUUCCAAUCCACUGAGACAAAAACUCUGUCAAUCUUGGUAAGCGUGGGUGAUUCCCGCUCGUUACUCCACGUAAACAUGUGGCUGUGCCCAUGCAAGUACAGAUCUUUGAGGCCAUUAUCAUCAAUGAACUGCUUGAAUCUUCCCAUCACUCUCCAGUCCAGGUUAGCAUUAUUCUUGUCAGAUGCCUGUAGAAUCAGGUUAAAAUCCCCUAACACCAACCAUAGGCCAGGGCAAUGCUGGCGGUGAGCUGAGAUCUUCUCCUGAUCCUCUUGUGGUCUGUAAACCACCGAAAGCCACCAAGGCGCACCCUCAGAUGGCAAAACAUAGCCCGUGAUGAAGUUUGUAUCAUUCACAAAGUUAGAAAUCUGUAGCAUGGAGGAAUUCCAGGCGAUAACGACCCCUCCCUUAGUCUCGCACACAGGAAGUUAAGCAAAACCGUCGUAAGACGACCCGAACAUUCCAUAAUAGUGUACUGGUCGAUCACAACCAGUUUAGUCUCCUUGAUACAGAAAAUUGCAGCAUGUAAUGAGUCAGCAAACUCCCUAAGCGCCUUACUCUUUGCUGGACUAUUAGGCCCCCUAUCAUUGCAGCGAACAAUCUCCAGGUUAAGGCCUGACAUAAUGGAGAACACGCCUCCAUCGCCAGCAUCCAACAGCCUAUGCUGACACUGCCAGUGUCACAUCUCCAUCCACUCCCAGAUCGAUGGAGAUAGCUUUCCCAAAGAUGGAAAGUGAACAGUUUGAUCACUUUUGUUACGAAGUGAUGUUAAUAAAAACGACAUUCCUUUUACAUAUUAGAAAAAUAAGCAAUAUUAAUUGCUUACGCUCCAUCGUCCCCUGUGAUCGUUGUAUCUUUGCAGCUAGUGAGAUUAUAUAACAAUGUUUGCAUGCUUCCAAACUGUAUGGAAGCACCUUUCUUGAGUUUUCUUGUCAUUGCUAAUUUCUCCAUUGAAACCAAUGGGAAGACCCAAAGUUUUGAAGUUUUGGCUAUGGCAUACGAGUCUACUCUUCUUAGCUGCAUUUCGCAUUUCUGACUUUGUACCGAGUUCCGUCACUCAGGUAAAAAGAAGAGAACUGUUUGAUCAUCUCCUCCAGUCUUUUUAACAAUUAUCAACUUCUAUGUAGCGCUAUGUUCACUAAAUUUUGGUAGAAUUACCAUUGUGCCUUUGUCUGCUGUUCUGUGACUCAGUUUAAUGCGUUUAUACUUCAGUAAAAAUAAGUAAACUGUUUGAUCAUGUACAUAAAUAACAUAAUAGUAAAUGUAUGCACAUCUAGUACUUACAUAAAUAACAUGACAGUAAAUGUAUGCACAUUUAGUACUUACAUAAAUAACAUGACAGUAAAUAUAUGCACAUCUAGUACUGUAAGGUGGUGCUAUGCCACUACAUUUUGGCAGACGUCCGUUUGAGAACAGUUAAUAUCUGAUGUUUCAAGUUCAUAUCAUCAGUUGUGUGUUUGUUAGCACUACCAAUUGCAAGGAUGAGAAAGAUUCGAAUUCUAUAAUAUCUCACAAGAUAGAAGUUACUUCAUUGCUGGAAAAUGAGUGGCAUGGGCUUUAGAUUUAUAGUACUUGAAAGUUGAAAAUAUACUAUUGGAUGCUUAAUGUUGAUAUGACAAUGUUCUUUUGUGAAGGUGUCCGGAGAAUUUGGCAAGGAGCUACAGUGCCCAUUCCGCUGAUGGUUGUGAGUGAUUUCAACAGAUACAAGUUUUCAGAGGAAAAAGAGUCUUUGCAGACUUGCUUCUUCUACUAUUAGUAGAUCCUGAUCGUCAUUAGCCAUGGGAACUUUUGUAGACUUGCUUAGUUCUGAUAUUACUAGACUGUAAUCAUCAAUAGUCGUGAAGUUUGGUGGGUCAUUAUGGAUCUGGUGAUGAUGUUUGAUGCUGCUCCGGGCUACUUGCUUAAAAGUUUGCACUGGAGUAUUGGUGUAUACAUGAUGGUAGAAUUUGUGUCCUGUUUGUAAUACCCUGUUGGAAGAAAAUGCUUCCAUUCCAUGAGACAUUAAUCCGGUGAUGAAUUGGUAUGGCUGCCGUCGGCUUGCAUUCUUAUGUUGUAUGCAUGGUAGUAACGUUCUGCAAUUGGGCUAUGUAUGCGUUGCCAUUUC